rnacentral:lncRNA from 1 species
GCGUCGGCGGGGCCCGCGCUGGCGCUCGUGGACGAGCGCAUGUCCACGGAGGGCACCGGGCUGAGCCUCGGGCUCAGCAACAACCUGCUGGGGUGGAUCCUCCUGGGGGUCUUCGGCCUCAUCUGGUCCCUCUACACCAUCUACACCUCUGACCUCGACGAGGACGAGGAGUCCGGUGGCCUCUCGCUCUAGAUCCACCCUCUCCUGUUAAUGAUCUGAAUGUAAACAUGGUGGCGGUCAUCGGUGUAAAUUUAGACAUGGCUAUUUGCAUCUAAGAUCCAUCCUCUCCUGUUAAUAAUGUUUGGAGACUACGUACGCCUGAAGCAAUGCAAUAGCAACUUUGCGAGAAAACUUGCUGCACACAUUUUUUCUUAGCUUUGAGGCUUUGAGUAGAGUUGUGUGUGAGGCCAGUUCUCCCACUGCUAUCCGUUGCUGCUCCAAAGUCCAGCCCAACGCAGCCCUGCAAAUCCCGCACCUGGCAACACUGCACCAUCGCUAGGUUCCGGCCAGUGGCAGUGGACACCACCAACGACAUUCGUCAUUACCACGUCUCCUGUUGGCUUGCAACUGAGUGAGAGAUUAAAAUAUAAUAGAACUUGAUUGGUCUUGGACGCUAGAUUCUACUGCAGAUUCACCAUGAUGCUCACGACUUUCAGAAGUCUGCUCUACAAAGUUGUCCUCUUCAUCGGAGUAUGAUAUCCCAAGUUUCUGUGCAUGAGUCAAUCCUGGACAGACUCCCUAUCAAAAAGGAUAUGUUAAGGUUCGAGAAAACAAAAAUUAACAUAAUUUAAUAGUAUGCACAAUCUGAAUUUUGUGCAUUAAUGUAGUUUCAGGGUGUGUUUGUUUCUCUACUAGAUUAUAUAAGUUAGAUUUCGGUGAAAAAGUAAAAGAGUAAAAUAUCACUUUACAACCACAAAUAAACUGAAAUAAGUUAGCAUUGGUUAGCUUAUUUUAGUUUGAUUAACUUAUUUUAGCUUAUUUGUGGUUCCAAAGUGACCCUCCUAUGUUUUCAUCAUAAUCCAACUUAUAUAAUAUAGAAGGGAAACAAACAAGACCUUAAUCUAUUAGAUGAAGAUGCAAAAACAAAGAAGAUUCUCUCAGCAAGACUAGCAUUCAAUCAAAAAGAAUAAAACCAGGAAAAUAAGAUGCUCUUGCUCAUUCAACAAAAUAACAAGACCUUAAGCUAGAAAACUAGCUUCAGAUACCAUAUACACCACACUGAAACAGAAAGCAAACUACUACACCCUCCUUUCUGUAUAUUCAUUGCUUUCUAACUCCAAUUAAUUGUUAACUGCAACCUGUUGGAUGCCAUAUGCACCAUUCUGUCCCAUGGAUCACAUCAAUACUGUUUAAAACAGCUUAGACUUUACACGAUGUAAUCCACUGUUGUUCCGUUUUCUGUCAACAAAAGUUACGCAUGCAGUGACGAAGAAAGAAAAAAAUGUUAACCAGGAACCACAUCAGAGUUACCUUGAUGUAACCUCCUGUCAUAAACAACACUUCGGACGUUGAAUAGUAAUUGGAAGGGGUUUGAAUAUCAUCUAAGAUGUUGUUUGGUUCGGUGGUGGUAACGGUAACGUCAAAGAAACUGGUAGACGGCGGGACGUGUUGCAUUGUAACACAAAGCAGACUUUGUUUGGUUCAUUGACAUAUGUAGCCUACAAGAUUGGAUAGCGCUUCCGGGGGAGUGGUAACGAGAUCCUACAGAGUCAUAUCCACUCUCAUCGUGAUGGAUUACAGGCUGCCUCAACCAAACAAAAAGCAAUGGCAUCAGAUAGUGGUGAGAACAAUUACGGGCCUAAAAACUGCGAACCAAACAGCACCUAAUUUGCUAUAGUUUCCAUUUUGAUGUUUCCUAGAACUAGCAUUAGCACCAUAUCCAUAGUCGGCGCCGCUAUUACAGAAUGCUCCAAAAUUUAAACAAUGUUCAUCUACCAAGGCUAUCUCAGGAGUAACAGGUAGCAAAUGACCCUCUGUACUAAAUAUGUACCUGCAGAAACGAUGAUAUACUGUAACUAUGAAUUCUAAGUCUGAAUAAACACCUGAACUAGUGAACUUACUGCAUUAUGGUGUCAUACUUACUUAUAUGGUCCAUUUUCAACAAUAUUAUCAGGGGCUCAGGGCCAACAGCUAAAUCAAAAAGAAGCCAGGGAUAUUUGACCUGAUAUGUGUUAGUAGUUAGAUUUCAGCAAUAGAGGAUAAAUGAAGGAAAACGGCAUGUAUUUACGCCCUCUCUCCCAAAAAAAGUGCACUUCUAGUUUGUGUCUAAGUCAUUUUUUCUUAAGUUUGACUAAAUUUUCAUAAAAUAGUAUCAACAUUUAUCCCUAAAAUAGGUUUACUGUAAAAAUAUAUUCCGUGAUUAAUCUAAUGGUAUUUAUUGGGUAUCAUAAAUGUUAGUUCCUUUUUCAUAUAUUUGGUCAAACAUGAAACAAACGAGAAGUCUACUCUUUUUGGGAUAGAGUGAGUUAAUUAAAAAAAAACUCGACCUGCGGGUAAGACCACCCCCGUUGCAUUAUUAUUAAGAAAGCACUCUCACACAGAUCGAGAAAACUCUUGUCGCACCCAUACACAGCGGUAUCGUAGCCCAUGUGACAACUACCGCGACCAGGACCAUACCUUAGACCUGUACUUUAGGCGUGGGACAGAGACAGACGAAGGUAUUUUUUUUAAACCCUGUCUGAAAUUCGGUCCCACGAGAAGUCGAACUCAAGACCUAAGGAAUGCUAUUCAGAGUCAGACCACCUAAUCUACUCAGCUAGAGAAUCUUUCGCGAAGUGAGUAAAUUUAGCAUCUUAAUUAGCAGGGAAUUGCUGGCUUGCUAAUAUGUCCCUUCCAAUAUCAAGGUAUCUGCAUUCAUAUAAAGACAAAACAUUAAAGUCAGGGCCAUAGUUAUUAACGUGAUAAGGCGAGCGACCCCUUUUUAACUUUUAAGCGGAAAGGCGUAGGGCGAGACGACCCUCUCAUUUUCUUCUCGAUUAACUUAAAAUUUCCUCUUUUUUCUUUGUAAUUUCUUGCUAUGUUUGCUCCCCUUGUUGAUUUCUGUUACAUUGGGGCCCAGUUGGGUGAUGUGUAUGUGCUUUUCACACUCAAGAGGGUCACAAUAUACUAGGGAUAUUCCUAAAACAUCCGACUUAUAUGACAAAUAUAAUAUUUUAACAUAAACAUGCAUAAAAUUUGAAAUUAUUUUUUAUUCAUGUAUGUGCUUUUCACAUUCAUGUUUGUUAGAUACCCAUGGAGCCCUCCCCCCACUCCCCUGUGACCACAGGCAUCGGCGUCCCUGCCACCGCUGCCACCGUCACGGCUGGCCAUGCCGCAGUCGCUGUUGCUGCCACCCCCACUGCCAGCACAGGCGUGGGCCCUAGCCGCUCCCUCUCCCUCACUUGCGCUGUCGUUGCCGUCGACUCAUCCCCUCAUUAGGAUCGUAACGUUAGCACGAGCUAUAUGUUAGUAUAUAGAAAAUAUACAGGUUUACCUAGAAUUUUUAUGGGUUUCAACAUUUUUACACCAUUUGUAGGAGCUUACCCUAAAACUCAAAUAUAAAACUGUAUUAGAGACUACAAUGUUUACUGAGUGGAGUUUGAAAUAGAAGUUAAAGUUGUCCGCAACAGAUCAUGUAAAAAUAGGGGAUUUGAACUAUAGAUUACAAUGUUUACAAAGUGAAGUUUGAAAUAGUGGAUGAGAUAAGCCUACGAUAGGAGGCGCGAUAGGCAAUCCACUCGAGAUGGCUUAACACUAUAAGAAAAAAAUAAUUUUAGAACUAUAGGCUACGAUAAAAAACUUGACCUAUGGGGGUAAGAUAGCCACCGAGUAUUGUAUUAAGAAGAAGACAUUCUCACACAGGUCGAGAAAACCGCCGAACCCCUGUCCCACCCAUACAUAGCGGCAUCGAAGCCCAUGUGAGAACGACCGCGACCGGGGCUGCUUUGACGUGGGACAGACGAGGGGAUCUUUUUAACCACAGUCUGAAAUUCGCUCCCACAAGUCAAAUACAGGAUCUGAGGAGUGCUACUCAGACCACAUAACCAAUUCAGCUAGAGGCCCUUUCGCAUAGGCUACAAUAACAUAUCCAAAUAAAAUAAAACAUGCUUGCUUUUAAACAACUAAUUGAAAAGUUACAAAAUUUUUGGAGUUCCACAAGUCUUCCAUUUUUUGAAAACUUUCCCAAAGUAUAGGAAAUUGCCGAAUUUCAUAGUUGUAUAUACUCGAGAAUACUACUCUGACUUUACUCCUGUUUGUUAAAGUCUGUAUAUAUGUUUUUUAACGAACAAACAAUUUAUCUUUAUUCUGUUAACAGAACUUAAGUGUGUUAACUCAGUCCAAAAAAGACAUUCAUAACCUUGCACUAUUAUCCCUUUUUAUUAAUUGUUUGCAAAUUAGCUCCACUUUGAUAUGAAAGUUCGGAAUGUAAUUAUAACAUAAAUCCGAUCAUAAAUUUUGAAAAUCAAAACUUCAACUUUAAAUCUAAAAUAUUUGACAUUGAAUUUUGAUGAAAAAUAACACCGCUUUAAUUUUUUUUUGAAAAAUAUAUUGUAAUUAAAUUAUUUUUAAAACUAUAAUUAUAAUAUUGUCAUUUUUUUUUCAAAAUUUCAUAUCAAAUUUAGUUUAUUUUCAUCAAUUAUGAAAUAUUUCUAAAUUCAAUAUUGAUUUCCAUAAUAUAUGUUCAGAUUUAUAGAUUCAUAUAUCACAGUUAGGGCUAGUUUGGGAACCAUAAUUUCCCAAGGGAUUUCUAUUUUCUCAAGGAAAAUUAUUUCAUUUUCUCUUGGGAAAUUGGGGUUCCCAAACUAGCCCUUACAUAUCAAACUUUCAUAUUAAAGCGAGGGCAGAUUUAAAACAGUUGAUAAAAGGAGAGAUAAUGAUGCAAGGGUAUAAAUGUCUUUUUGCCGGUUAAGUUAACGCAGUUAAAUGUUGGUAAUGAGAUAGAGACAAAGUGAUUGUUCGUUUCAAAAAAAGAAGGGUCAUACAUAUAAACUUUUAAAAACAAGAGUAAAAACGUAGUAGUAGCAUCGGGGCAACUAUACAACAACCCCAUUAUAUAAGGAAACAUAACUAGUGCAAUGAUCCUUUGGUGCACAUAUUAAAUCAUGACUGUUUAUCUUAGAUCUAACAUCUAUUGUUGUCAUAUAUAUUUUCUAAAGAACACUUCAAAAAGGUGAAAGUGGUAGAGGGUGUCCUUUGCAAAAUAUCUAAGAUAGCAAGGGACGUUAAAUUUUAGACAGGAUAUCAUAAUUUAAUAUGUGCACCAAAGUGCAAUAUACACCACAUAUGCUCCCUUCAUUAUAUAAUGGUGCCCUAAUAGUGGUCCUAUUACAGAAAUAAAACCUAAUGUCCUUUGCUGUCUUGGAUAUUUUGAAAAAAAACACCCUUCAUCACUACCAUCCACUAUUUCUACCUGUUCGGAGAGUGCACUUCGCAAAAUUACAACAAGGGACGUUAUACAUGAGAUAUACUGUCAUGAUUUAUUAUGUGUAUCAAAAUAUCAUGUGUGUCAGAUAUGUUCCCAUACUGAAAUGCUAUAUAUUGGGUGUAAUAUACAAGGUGUAUUUAUCUAGAUAACUGUUUACAUCACUGGCUAUGUAUUUGACUGUUUGCUGAUAUGAACCUGGGCCAUUCAAUCUUAUUAUUUCAAUCACAUGCACCAGAGUAAAUUUACAGAUACCCAAUCAAGAACAAACUGUGAUAUCUUUAAAUUUAUAUCUUGGGGAACUGCAAUACAUCAUUCACUAUACCAACUCAAUCAUCAAGCAUGUGGGCCAAAACAAUCAAUCAAACACUGAAGAAUAAAACAACUCACACAUGGAGCCAUACAUCAGUUCGUAGCAGUGGUACAACACAUGCAACUGGUAAAAAGAGAGGAUCUUGCCUUCUGCUUUUCUUUGCUUCUUGGUGAACUAACCAUGGUAUUACUCUUCGAGUUCGAUUCUGGUUCCUUCAAUGGAGACCAUAUACCAGCUUCGCUCUGCAUCAGCAAGCUCUCAAAUGGUUUCUUAAAUCUUGCAGAAUGAUUUGCUAUUCUGAAGUCUCCUCCUGUUGGUUCCCUGGGGCUUAACAGUGGGCUCCUCUCAGAUUCUUCAUCAGCCUCAAUUUUAAAUUGCAUUACAGCAAUGUCGGCUGUGGGGAUUUCCAUGUGUACAUGGCUAUGCUGCUCAAUACAAUUGGAAAAACCUAUAUUUUGCGCUCCCUGAAGUAAUGGAGUCACUUCACUGGCUUCUCUCCCUGGAGUUGAUGUCUGAUGAGUAUGUUGUUCCUCAGUAGCCGUACCAAAACAUGUUGUGACUUUCACCUGAUUGCAUUGAGCAGUAAAGGCUGCAGCUGAAAUGCCUUCUGUGACUUCCUUUUGGUAGUGGUUGGCUUCAAAGGUAAAAUCUGAAGAUGUAGUGUUUGUAUCUACUUUCUCAUGGUUGAUACCAUCAGUAGAGAUUAUGACUACAUUAGAGCUAUCUUCCACCAACUGCAUACACUUUCUAAGAAUCUCGCCAUUCUCAAGUUUCAAAACCUCGUAUUUUUCAAGCAGUAUCAGUUGAGAUUGGUCAACUUGCGAGUUUGUAAUAGUUUCUUGCUUAUCUCUGGUUCUAUAUACCUUCCUGUCAAUAUCUUCUAGUGAUUGAAGAGGAAUUAAUGGUAUGGCCUUUGGUAAAUUGGAUAAGUCUCCUCCCUCCUUUGUCACUACAUGUGCAUCAAAAUGGAGGCCUAGACCUUCUACAUUAUUUACCUUAUCUUCUUCUAAAAUUUCCUUUACUGUCUCUUUAUCAAACUCUACUAUUCCGGAUACUCCACUGACUUUUCUUUGUAUCUCUUCAUUCCCAAUAUAAUGAUGAUCUGACAAAGAUGAUUGUAAGCCUGUAAAAUCCUUUCCAUUGACCUCAGUAAUACUGACUAAGUUACCAUAAUGUUCUUCAGGUUUGUUCUCUGUUGCAAAAUUAUCUUCUAGAUUCCAAGCCGUGAUAUUUUUCUCAGCUAUUCCUUCUUCCUUGUAUAUUGUUCCUAUGCCAUUAUGCUUCAUUGUUGUAGUAACAGAAACUGAACUCUGUCGUCUUGAACCAACUACCCUUUCAUUUUGUUCAUUUUCCAGUUCUGGAUCAUUCAUCGAAGUUGGAUUUUUUAGAUAUGGUUGACACUUUGCAACAACUUCAUCAUUAUAGAGAUUACCACAUAAUGUACUUACUGCAUUAUCUUCAUCCUGAUUUCCUAAUGCAAGGAUAUUAUUAUCAUCCUCAAAUGCCUCAUCACUUUCAGUCAUUAUAUUUACUGUUGCAAUUUUGCUUAUUGCUCUGUUUUCUUCCUGGUCAUGUGGUAUUUGUAUUUGCAUGUUGUCAUUCUUGGAUAUCUCUAGGUUUGUGCCAUCUGAUGGUUGCACAUCUGGUAGACUCUCUUUUUGUACAGGCUUAUCUUCUAUAACCACUUCCUUGAUCUCAGAGUCAUCAGCAUCAAGAUAAGUGCUGACAAUUGAUUCAGUUGAUGAUGUAGUUUCUCCUUGCAUUACCACCAAAAUUUCCUCUACUGUUGCCACCUCAAUGUAUCCUUGUUCUGUGUUCUCAGUUGUAUUUUCACCAGCUAGACUACCACCCAUGGGGGAAUUGUCAUGACUGCUAGAUUCUUCCAGUUCUUCUAGUGAACCUUCUAUUUUUUCUUGUAACAAUGAUUUGUAGUUGCCUUGGAUAGUUUCUUCACUUGUUUCUGUAGUCCCAUGCAUAAGUGGUACAAUUUCUUCGUUAUAGAUUGAGCUAUCCUUGUAGCUUGUCACAUCUUCAGUGGUACUGACAAGAGCAAUUGUUUCGGAAGAAAAUAUGGCUGUUUCAGUUGCUUCUUUCCUCAAUGGUUCAUCAUCUGUACCAGAAUGCUUGUUUUUGUCAGUAGAAUUCAGAGCUGCAGGGGAACUAAAAGAAGUAGGUGCUUAGAUUCUAAAGUUUAUUCGUUAAAAAUAGUUGUUUGUUGAAGAUGCAUAUUAAGGUAGAUAGUGCCUAUAUUUGUAUUAUUAAUCUCUAUCUAGCUUGUUUUCAUUCUUUUAGGGCUUCAUUGGUUAUUUUGAAUCCAUAUGAAUUGGAGGGUAUUGGUAUGAAUUGAGAGAGAUUUUGACUUUACUAGGGAUUUAAACCCACUCAAUCCCCUUUAAUCCAUAUGGAUUAGGGUUCAAACGAACAUAUGCCCUUAAGGGCUUGUUCGGUUCUACUCCAAUCCAUAUGGAUUGAGGGGGUUCCAAUCCCUAGUAAGUCAAAAUCUCUCCUAAUCCGUAUCAAUCCUCUCCGAUCUAUAUGGAUUGAAAAUAACCGAACAAGCCCUAAGGGGACUAUAUUUCAUUCUUACCACUGACCUUAUGAAAUUUCCAUGCGCCAUCACUAAUUAAGGGACGGAAAGAACUUUUCUGAACUAAAGGAAAUGAUGACAUGGUACCAAGUUAACUAUAAGCUGAGUGGGAGAACUGAACUAACCUUUUUGUAAGUUACUAGUCUGAUCAUCUCGUGUUGAUGUGUUAUACUGAAUUGAGCUCCUGCUUUUCUCAUCUAAGCCUUCAACCUUAUCUGGUGAUUUUUUUUGAUAUGAAGCCAUCUGCUUAUCUUCAGCAUUGGUAAUGACGGGUUCCUUUGAGGAUUUUGACCAGUUGACAUACUCAGCGCCAUCCUUCUCAGUGUCUAGCAUAAACAGGCCGAUUAGUGGUGAUUCAUUGUACUGAAUUUCUGUGUAAAAUUAGUACCACUAUCCGUACUUGUCUCACCGUUUGUGCCGUUGGGCCCAGGUGAACUAUUUGAAGGCUCAACGAUUUUGUCAGCUCCAUUAGUGGUCUCUUCUGAUACUAGAAUUUCCAAAGGAAGAUAACCAGUGAAACACAGAAACCACAUUGCUAGGCAGCAGAUUGUAUUCAGCAAAAUGCAUACCUUGUUGUCCAGUGACGUUGUUAUUUCCCAUGAUCUCUUUACCCACCACACUUCGCAGCUCAGGUUCAGAAACACUGAGAGCAAUCACAACAACAUAUUAGUUAGCUCAAGCCCUAUCAGAUAUGAUCGUAUGGAAGACAAGGGAACAUGCAAGCGAGCACCACAGACCAUGAUGGGAUUGAUGGUAGAAACUGUAGGAAGAUGAACUAUUGUAUUGCAUAGAGAAUGGGUACAAUAUAUAGACUCAACCCUAACCCUAAUGGGCCGGCAGCCCAACAGUGGUGCCGGCCCACACACACUCACACACACAUAGUCUAACAUCCCCCCGCAGUCGCAACGGGGGCACCACACACGAUGAGACUGGAGUAGAGGCCGAAGGUAGGAGCCGACGGGUUGAAAUCCCCCCGCAGUCGCAGCGUCGUGAUGGUGCGAAUGUUGCGGCUGGAGUAGAGAACGGUGUGUGCUCCAAGAAGACGAUAGCCCCUAGAUGCCGAGGUAGCCGAAGUCGAGGUGGUCGCGGUCGGAAGACGCGCAGCAAAAGUCUGAUCUUCGGGAGGGGUCGACGUUCGAGCGUCAACGAUCGGCAGGGCGACACAGCAAAAGGGCACCGACAGGCCGACCUUCCUGCUUCUUCGAUCGACCAGACGUCAAGGAGCCCCGCCAGAGAGGCCGACAGCAGCACACGCGGCUGCGCUGGUCAAGGUGUCCGCGCCCGCGGCAGAAAAGAAGGGGAAUGUCGGAUCCGGCCGGGAAGGCCACGACAGCGACGGAUCCGGACGGGGAGACGCGAUCCAGCCAAAGGGACGGCAGAUCGAGCUGAGAAGGACGCAGCAACGUGGAUCCGGCCGGGAAGGCCGCGGCAGCGACGGAUCCAAACGAAGGCGAGGAAGGGGAGGGCGACGGGGCGGUUCCAACCAGGCAGGGCCUGCGCCAGACCUGGCUAGGGACGAUGACGGCGCCGGCGCCGGGAGAAGCUUGAAGGGUGAGGCGCUGCUGGGCAUCAACGCGAGCAGUUAGGAGGAGGCCACGCGAUGAGAGGCGUCACGGGCGAGGGUGCCGGCGGAGGACGCAGUGGAGAGGGAGCAGGCGGUGGUGGGCAGAGGGGAGGGGCGGCCACGACGCCGGGCUGCAGGAAAGGGGCGGCGUCCUGGCGCGGCGUCCUGGCGCGGCUGCGCCCUGGGCGCGUCGGGCUCGGUCCCUGGCGGCUGCGCGCAGGAGCAAGGGAAGGCAGGGAGAGAGAGAAGAGGAGUGAGAGAGGAGAGCGCCGACGAGAGGCCGCUGGCCGCGUGCGCCAUGGCCGCCGUCGAGCCAGCCCGCGCCGUGGCCGCCCCGCGCAGGGUAAUCGUGCGCCCGCGCCGGGGCCGCUCGCCGGGGCCGCCCCGCGCAGGGGAACGCGCGCCCGCGCCGGGGCCGCUCGUCGUGGUUGCUGCCGGCGUCGUGGUUGCUGCCGGCGCGGGAGGGUGCUGCGGGGCGGCGGAUCUGAGCGCCGGGGCCGCCGCGCCUGGACGCACCAGCGCUGGACCGCGCCUAGCCGGAGGCCGCGAGCCCGCGUCAGGGCCGCCCCCGGCCGGAGGAGCCGCGCCAUGGUUGCGCCCGAGCCCUCGGACGCCGGGAGGGAAGGGGGGCCAUGGAAGGGCAGGGAGCGUCGGUCUGCGAACUGGGCGCCAUGGGGGUGCUGCUGGAGGAGGAGAGCUCGGCUGGGAGGAAGAAGGCCGCCCCCGGGAGGGAAGGAUGAGCCUCCCGGGGGGCGGCGGCUGGUCCUAGGGCUGGCGGCGGCUGUGGGGUGGGUAGGAGCCGCCGGCGGCUGCAGUGGAAGGUGGGAGCAAACCCUAAACCUAAUCCUCUGAUACCAUGUAGGAAGAUGAACUAUUGUAUUGCAUAGAGAAUGGGUACAAUAUAUAGACUCAACCCUAACCCUAAUGGGCCGGCAGCCCAACAGUGGUGCCGGCCCACACACACUCACACACACAUAGUCUAACAGAAACUUCAAGAUCAAUUAGAAAGAACGACAACAAGACAUAUUGUUGCAUGCGAGCCUCAUGGUAUAUAUAGUGCAGGGGGGCUCAUUGCUAGGAAACACAAGCUUUGUGGGUCACUAUUUUAUGUUGAUAUUUUUUUUAAAAAAAGAAACUUGAGUAAAUUCAGUGAUCUGAUUGUAUUAUGACUACAUCAAUCAUCAACAUGACUGGAUUUUUUUAGUAGGAAAGCUGAACACUUUUUGUACAGAAGUCACAUAAGCUCUGCUAUAUAUAAGAAAGUAAUUAGUCACCAAGGCUUGGUCAUAAUGGGAGCAUGAUUUACUACAAUGGCUCUAUGCUUUACUUAGCUAGAACAUGUUUAUUUGCUUACUGCCCUGUCCCCUGUAUAUUGAGACUAGGGACAUCAUGUUUGCAUUUCUUUUCACUUUUUUUUGUUACUGUUAGAUAUACAUUUUCAUUGAAGAUGGAAGUUACUGAAGUGUCAGCAUCAGACAUGGGGCUUGGAUGCAUUUACAUAUAGCGCUUACAACAUAUGGUUUUGUUCAUGCUAAUUAUGUGAUGAGCUGCUACAAAACUUUGACAUGAUGUAACGAGCACAAUUCUGUGAACCAAUCAAGCUUUCGGCGCAUGGUUUGGUUUUAGUAUGCCUGUGGACACAUUUGAUUCUUCCGAAGUCAUGCUCCCUGUCUCAAGGAUUUUUUUUUGGAAGCAUUAUCAUGGCUUGUUUCGUUGUUUGGCUCUAAAGCUGGAUCCAGUUGAGUUGGAGGGAGACAUGUUGUUAUGUUUUUGGUGUAAUCAUGAUCUACAACUCCCUUUCUGCUGGUAGCCUGCUUCACAGACUUUUGAAGGCCCUUCUGGUGGUGUUCCCCUUUGUACAGGGUGGAAGUUGUUUUCCACCUCAUGCUUUCCUAAGAAAAUGUGCCGAUUAUGCUUUUCUCUUUGUUUUUACUAACUUAGUGAAUUUGCCAUUCGGCCACACGGAAUACUACAAUGGCACGUGUACUCUGAUUCUGAGUUUUUGUUUUAAAUAUAUUUUAUUAUCAUGAAAACUACAAAAAUAUAUACGCUGGUUGAAUUCCAAAAAUAAUAUAUGGACAGUCGUCCGAUAGUGUCUUUCAAAAAUCGUUUUACCAGAGAGUGACUCGUUAUAAUGUAAAACUAUCCCCCCCCCCUCCCCCCUUUCCGCUGUUCCGCAAGUUCAGGACUACAAAAGCACGAGACAAGCACCCGGUUUAGCUUAAUUUUUUAACAAUACUAGGUAUGUAUUCAUACGUUGCCAUGAGAGUUAAAAUUAGUAUAAAACAUACAUACGAAAUAACAAACAUUACUAUAAUAUACAUAAUUUGUCUGACAAAAUCUCACAGUAACACUAAUAUUAUAUUGAUGAUAUAAAUACGUAAUAUUAUUAUAAAUACACCAACUCAAAUAAAAUGAAUUGGUGUCGAACAAAUAUUAUAAUCGCACAAAUUAUUUCUAAAGAAUCAAAAUAUAAUUUUGAAUGAUAGGGCAUCACAAGCGGGCGGCCGCGCGGCGUCUGUAAAAUCUGACCAUAUUGAAUGUUGUUCGGUCUCACAUGUAAAAUCUCACUAUAUUGUACUUAGACAAGCGAAAGGGUCUCUAGCCUAGCGGUUAAGGACUUUCGAGUAGUACCUCAAAGUCCUGGAUUCGAUUCCUAUCGGGAGCGAAUUUUCAGGCUUGGUUAAAAAAAAUCCCCUCGCUGUGCCCUAUCCGCUCUCGGGUUGCGAUGUCUUGUCCGCCACCCUCCGGUUAGACCGUUGCAGAGUGGACAGUUGACGCCAGCCCGUUAGUAACGGGGGCCAGGGUUUGGAGAUUUUCUCGGCCGGGACCAUUGUUUCGGUCUCUUCUUAUAUGGAAUACCGGGAUGGCGGUCCGGCUGAGUUUUUUUUGUACUUAGACAACAAGAGUAAUUAAUUGGGACAACGAUUUGGGUCAGAGUAUUAGGCAUUGAAAAUGAUUUUAUGGGUUGGCUACAUACCUCAAGACUAUAUCGGUUUGAAAAAUGAGUACAAUUGUUUCUUUCAUGAACCACUGACAAUGCUCCAUUAUCUACACACGACAUAGUGGAUGUAGGUUAGCAACUGGAGAGUAAUCAUUUCUUCUAUUCAUCAGGAUUUUCACAAGGUUCAUAGCGCGCGUAGGGAGUAUCAGCACAGAAAUUGUCACCUCAGAAAGAUGAAUGUGCCGUGUUCUCUAGCAUGUUCAACAUUAACAUGGUCAUCUAGGAAGGUUGUCUGCAAUGUGUAGAACUAUGUUGGUGUCUAUUUGCAAGAGACUAAAUUAUCAACAAUCGAUAGGUUCACAGCAGAUGCUCUAGGAGGGCCAAAGCUCAACAAAUUCAGAUUCAAGCCUGCUGAAGGAAAUAGUGGAACCCAGGGAGGCAUCCUUUUGCUUUGGGAUAGUGACGUCUUAGACCUGUCUAAUGUAACUGUUGGGGAGUUCCACUUAUCUGCAAGUGUGACACUUAAGGAUCGCCGAGCUUCCUUCUCCCUAACAGUCGUCUAUGGGCCAACCUGUAGAAGCCGCAAGCCUGCCUUCCUUAGAGAGAUGAACGAUCAGAGACCUCCUUUGUCUUCCCCAUGGCUGAUCCUCGGGGAUUUCAAUUGCACAUACAAAGCUAGUGACAAAAAUAAUUCUAGAAUAAAUCAUCACCUUAUGCAGUUGUUCAGACAAGCUCUCGAUAAUUGCGACCUAAAGGAAAUUCCUCUGCAAAAUAGAAAAUUCACUUGGAGCAAUGAGAGGCGACACCCCACUUUGGUCAGGCUUGAUAGGUUCUUUUGCAACCCAGAGUGGGAGGAGUUUUUCGACAACUAUGGGUUGCACGCUCUUUCAUCUUCAGUCUCUGACCACUGCCCGCUGCUUCUAUCUAAUAAUGCUAGGCCGAGGCGUCCACGCUCCUUCAAAUUUGAGAAAUUUUGGACGGUUUUACUGGGUUUCAAGCAGGUGGUGGAGCACGCUUGGUCGAAGCCGACCCAACAUCAUGAACCUUUCCAUAGACUGUACUAUAAACUCCAGAGCAUAGCCCGGGCGCUCAGGGGAUGGAGCUCCAGGCUUGUUCCUGAUUCUAAGCUGUUCAUGCAUAUGACCAUGGAAGUUCUCCUUAGGCUAAACCUAGCACAAGAAAAUAGGCGGUUGUCGGACUUCGAGUCAAGUCUCCGAAGCAGACUGAAGAUGCGUAUCCUUGGCUAUGUUGUUAUUGAAAGGGCACGGAAAAGGCAUAAUUCCCGUAUGUUAAGCCUUAGAUUUGGUGAUGCCAACACCAAAUUCUUUCACCGAAAAGCUAGCUCCAGGAGGCGAAAAAAAAUUCAUUCAACGACUAAAGGUCGGCAAUGGAUGAGCCCUCUCUCAUGAAGACAAGGCCCAGGAGAUCCAAAACUUCUUCCAGAAUGCGAUGAAACAACCACCGCCUAAGAAUGUUGACCUUAACUGGGAGAUUAUUUCUAAUAGGCAACAUAACCUCUCCAGCUUAGACGCGCCUUUUUCAGAGGUUGAAAUUAAAGCAAGCAUCGAUCUUCUGCCUGCCGAUAAGGCACCGGGACCCGACGGCUUCACCGGCUCUUUCCUCAAAUCUUGUUAGGCCACUAUAAAAUACGAUUUCAUGGCAGCGGUGAAUGCUUUCUACAACCUUCGUUGUUGCAACCUUCAUCUAAUAAAUUCGGCCAGCAUCAUCCUAAUUCCUAAAAAAGAUGGAGCGGAAACAGUCGGGGACUUCAGACCGAUAAGCCUAAUUCAUUCAUUUAUUAAGAUUAUUACCAAAACACUUGCUCUUCGGUUGGCUCUGAGAAUGAAUGAGAUUAUCUCGCCUUUUCAAAGCGCCUUUAUUAAAUCACGGAGCAUCCAUGAGAACUUCCUUGCUGUGAGAAGCACGAUUAGGCGUUUCCAGCGUAACAACUCACCAACUCUAUUCAUCAAGCUGGACAUUGCAAAGGCAUUUGACUCUGUGCGAUGGGACUACUUGAUAUCCUUACUCGACAGCUUAGGUUUUCCUGUGAGGUGGAUUGACUGGAUUGCUACAAUCCUUUAUACUUCAUCCUCAAGAGUAACCAUUAAUGGGGUGUGAAAGGGAAUUAGGCUUACACCUAGUCCCUAAUAAAUUUUGGUGAUUGAAUUGCCCAACACAAAUAAUUGGACUAACUAGUUUGCUCUAGUAUAUAAGUUAUACAGGUGCCAAAGGUUCACACUUAGCCAAUAAAAAGACCAAAUAUUGGGUUCGACAAAAAAGCACAGGGACAACCGAAGGCACCUCUGGUCUGGCGCACCGGACUGUCCGGUGUGCCACCGGACAUGUCCGGUGCACCAGAGUACUCCAACGCAAACUCUUCGCCUUCGGGAAAAUCCAGAGGCAACUCCACUAUAAUUCACCGGACUGUCCGGUGUACACCGGACAGUGUCCGGUGCUCCAAGGAAGUGCGGCCUCAGGAACUCGCCAGCUUCGGGAAAAUGCAACGGCUGCUCCGCUAUAAUUCACCGGACAUGUCCGGUGUACACCGGACUGUCCGGUGUAACUGCGGGGCAACGGCUACAACGGCGCCAACGGCUACCUGCAGCGCAUUUAUUGCGCGCCAGCGCGCGCAGAAGUCAAAAUCGCCCAUACUGGCACACCGGACACUCUACAGUACAUGUCCGGUGCGCCACCGGACAUCCAGGCGGGCCCAGAAGAUAGAGCUCCAACGGUCGAAUCCCAACGGCUUUGGUGACGUGGCUGGCGCACCGGACAUGUCCGGUGUGCACCGGACUGUCCGGUGCACCAUUCGACAGGCAACUUUCACCAACGGCUAGAUUUUGGUUGGUGGUUAUAAAUACCACCCCAACCGGCCACUUUAAGGUGUGGGAGCCCAAGCAACAUUCCAAGUCAUCUAGUUGACAUACUCAAGCCCUCCCAACCACAUAUAUUCAUUGAUCCAUCCUAUACACAAGAUUUAGACCACUACAACCAACACAAGUGCCACAAAAGAGAGAGCAAGCAAAAGAGAGCUACUCAUUUGAGUUUAGCACUAGUGCCUUGUGAGAUUCAUCGAGAGAUAGUGUGUGCUUCAUCUUUGUGUUCAUUUGCGCGUGGAGUUUUGACUCCCAUUGAACUUCCUCCAAAGUUUUGGAGGCUUGUAAAAGCUAGCAAGAGACACCAAAGUGUGUGGUGGUCCUUGCGGGAUCGAGAGUGAUCCUUGAGAAGAAGAAGAGCUCGUCGAUCCUUGUGUGAUCGGGGGAGAGAGGGAAAGGGUUGAAAAAGACCCGUCCUUAAGUGGACUCCUCAACGGGGACUAGGCCUUCGAGGGCCGAACCUCGGUAAAACAAAUCACCCGUGUCCAUUGUGUUUAUUGCUUGUGAUUUGUUUGUUUUCUCGUAUUCUAAGUUUUUCUUGCUCCAUUCUUUGCCAAUAUCAUUUGGUGUUGCUUCAAGUUAAAUUUCGAUUUAGUGAAGCAACACGUUGCAAGAAAGAACUUGUCCUAGUGCUCUUCUCAUCUAAGGCUUCUUGCUUUGUUAUUCUAUAACUUAUUUGAUUCAUCACUCCCUCAUUAUUUAGCAAUAUUCUUUUCAAGCAAAAACUUAGUUUGUAUACUCCUAUAUUUUUAUAUCUUGUUCUAACCACUAAUCAAGGGAUCUAGUUGGGGGAUAAAGUUUUAAUUUUCAGGUUUCGCCUAUUCACCCCCCCUCUAGGCGACUUUCAAUUGGUAUCAGAGCUAUGCACUUCAUCUUGAGUCUAACAACUCGAAGUGAUGACUCGUAAAAGAUCCCAAAAGAACAAGAAGACCCAGGAGACCAAGGAGGUAACUCUUGAGAUAUUACUUUCCGAUUGUUCUAAUUAUGAUUCAUGGUCUACUAGAGUAAUAAAUGCUUUUAGAGCGGUAGAUCCUCAAUUAGAACAAAUUUUAGUCAAGAGUAUUAUUCCUCCUAACUAUGCUAGGGAAAAUGCCUCCGAAGAAGAUUUAAGAUGUAUACGGUUAAAUUAUCUAGCUUAUGACAUCUUAAGUAAAUCCCUUAGCAAAGAAGAUUAUCAUGCCUUCAUAAUAAAAUAUGACAAACCCAUUUGUGAUGUGCAUGAUAUUUGGACUAGAAUUAAAAGCAAAUUUAAUAAGUCCAAACAUGGUAGUUCAUUUUGUGCUUCUACUUCCUUUGGUCUUUGUGAUACUAUCCCUUGCAAGGAAGAAGAAGAAAAUGAUCGAUGGAGACCAAACGAUGAAUCCACCUCUCCAAAAGGUUUGUCUUCCCAUUUCAAUUCCCACAUGUGUUGUGUGGCUAAUACAAAUGAUAGCGGAAGCACAAAUGAGGAUGAGGAGGAAGAAAGAAGCUUUGUGCAACUCUACGCUCGCCUAAGUCAAGAAGAUAAGGCGGUCAUGCUCAAACUUGUAGAAAGAGCGAGAGAGCAAGGCGAAGCUCGUCAAAGGCUAGAAAGUAUUCUCUCCAUGAAGAUGCAACACUUUGACGAGUUGACUAAAGAACAUGAGGAGCUAAAGUGCUCUCAUGUUGAUUUGGUCCAAAGGUAUGAAACUAUUUCAAUUGAGCAAGAUAACGCUUUACAUUGUAUCGCUCAAUUAGUAAAUAGGAAUACCUUGCUUAAGGACCAAGUAGAAAAGCUAAAAAUUGAAAAUCUAGCUUUUCAAGAUAAAUAUGAUAUGCUCCUAUGCUCUCAUGAAAAUCUUAGAGAUGAUCAUAUCAUAUUAAACAUUGCUCACGAGGUUGUGAUAGAAAACUUAAAAUCCCAACAACCUCACUCAUGCACAUGUAUUCAAAUUGAUACUAUAUUACCAUGUGCUAAUGCUUGUUGUCCGUCAACAAGCAUAUCUUCUCUUGAGCUAGAACUUGCAGGAAUAAAAGAUGAUACAUAUCAAAAGCUCAAAGAAGAGAAUGAGAGGCUAAAGAUGAGCUUGACACAACUAAAAGGGAAAUGCAUUGCCCAACCUUCUCAAGAUAACCAUGAUCACAUCGUGAAAAAGCUUGAGACGGGAACAACCGUAGCAUGCACUACAUCCCUUGAAGAAAAUGUCAAGGAUUUGAGGAUUGCCAAGAGGAAGAAACAAAAGAUGAAAUUCAACACCUCCUCCAAAAGCCUCAACCACGCCUCCACAAAAGGUAACAUCCAAGGUAAUGAUCAAGCCACACUUCACAUUAAGAGGUGUAGUGAAUGCUUUGAAGAGGGGCACUUGAUUAGGUCAUGUCCCUACAUUAUAAAUGGCUCGAUUAUUAACAAGGAGGAUAGACUUUGUUUUAAAUGCUCCAAGAAGGGACACUUGCUUAGAUCUUGUCCUCAUUUAAAACAAAAAGGCAUAGGGUUAGAAAAGAAAGUUUUUACUAACCAUGUAGCAAGCAACAAACAAGGAAAGAAGAAAAAUUCAAAACUUGAAAAACGCCUAUGCUACACAUGCCGAAAGAAGGGACAUCAAUGUAAGGAUUGUCCCAUUGGUAACAAUUCCACUCCUAGCUUGUUAAUUAAUUCUCAUGUAACUAGGCAACCCAAAAUUGGAACUUGUGCUAGAAAGGUAAUGAGUUUACCUAGUGCUAACACAAAGGACUUUUGGGUUCCUAGAUCUUUGUUGACUAACCAUGAUGGACCCAUCAAGCGAUGGGUACCAAAAUAUGCUUGACAAGUUUUGCAGGAAAAGGAGAUGAUAUGAAGCCUUGGGGUGCUUGAGAAAGUUGAUUCAAUUUAACUCAAGCUAUCAAAUCUUCAAUGAUCUUUAUCCGUGAUUGACCCAAGGUUAUUCUUCAAAUAACUACAUCUUAAACUCAUAUCAUCUCGAGGAAGGUAUUGAUGUUGUAGGAAAUAAAGAAUUAUCUUAUGCGGAAAAAUCAAGGCCUACAACAUGGAGGAAAGUCAAAGGAUGGUAACCUCUAUGCUUUUAAAGUGCAAGUUUUUAUUAUGUGUCUUGAGUAGUCACAUAGAAAUGUGUAGCGCUUCAAAUGUCUUAAAAUUCAUAUCACCAUUCUUUGAAGAAUUUCCUCUCAUAUGGUAGAUUGCAUACCCAUCAUUUCCAUCCUAUGGCAAUCUACAUGCUUUAAAUUAUUGCAAGUCUCAUGGCAUGUUUUACACUAAUUAUCUUAUUAUUGCCAUGAUUCUAGUUAUAGAGAGAUAUUUCAUGUUCUUAAAAGAAUUAGUUGUCAUAUAAGGAAUUCAAAUCCUUAGGACAUUUCUAAACGGAAAAUUCUCUCUAUAACUAAAAUAGUGAGACUAAUGUUUUCAUCUAAGUAACCCAAGUAGUCUCACUUGUAGAGAAUAAGUUUCUCUUUGGAAGCAUGUAAUCUAACAUAAAAAGAAAAAUCAAUCCAAUUAUUUAUGUUGAUUUGCUCCUUGCCUAUAUUGGAUAUGAUUCUUCCUCAUUCAUCGCUCUCCAUGUUGUGAUUUAGAUUUAUUUCCAUAAUCCUAAAGAACUCACUAUGCUUGUUCCAUUAGUUAAAACUAAGCAUACUUCAAGGAAUGAUCUAGUUCAUAUUAUAAAGUUUCCAUGCUUUAGUAAUUCACUUUUCAUUCCUUAUCAAAAAUGAUUACAAAGAGGGAAACUAGUGCUUGUGUUGCUACUAACAUUUCUCUUGAGUUCAAGUAUGAAAAUCUACAAGAGAGAAAGUGCACAAGCCUCAUGGGUUGAUCUUCACCCAAAGGAAGAAAGGUAAAAGCAAAGGUAUGGGAACUCAUCUUUUUAAUUAAGUUUGGUUCCCAUCUCAAUGGGUAUUUAAUCUAAUUCAUGCCUUUGCUAUAUCCAUUCUCAUAUUGACCUGUUUUAUGUAAUAAUUAAUAAAGUUCAAUAUAAAGAAGUAAAUUCCUAUGAGUGAUCAAAUUGUUAAAUAGUGCAUGUUCCCCUUUUCAAGUAAAAGUGCACUAAUGUUAAGAAUUUUACUUCAUGUCUGUGUGACUUAUGGAUGAUGAAUUAUGCUUAUUUCCUAUCUAAAAGAAAUCAUCCAUCAUUAUAUACUCCCUUGUAUUACUAACAUCCUUCUUGAGUAUUUUCAAUAAGUUUGAAAGGAAAAAGAAGCCACUGCAAAGGGAGGACUCUCAAAUGAAAGAGGAGAACAUCAAGAACAACACCACCUACUUCUACGAAACAAUCAAUGGUGUGGUUGUGAGUAUUCUAAACCCUUUCAUAAUGAGAAUACUAGGCUCAAGUUGUUUAUUACAAAUUUAAUGAGCCUUGAUCAAGAUGUAUAAUGCUUCUCUCUAUUUCUCUUUAAAGUAAAUGCAUCCAUUCAAUUCAUUCAAAUACUUGAUGCAUAUCUUUAGGGGGAGCCUCUUUUUAUAUCUUGAUUAUGUUGAGAAUAUUACUUUAUCUUAGAAAUUUCAUAUAGUCUCUUGCAUGAGAAUGAGUUUCUCAUGAAGUAUUUGCUGGAUUCCCCUAUCCUAAGCUUAAUUGAUAAUCUAAUGCGUAUGUUGUUCUUUUGAUCACAUGUGUUAUUUGUUUGAUCAUUGAAUGACUUUCAUUAGCAACCAUGCCUCUUAGUGCCUCAUAUACAUAUUCUUUCAAUCAAUAUCUCUCUUGAUAUGCACUAAGUUAAAAGGAGAAUUCAUGAUUCUUUUAUACAAUUGGUGAUCCAUUUGAUAUAUGCUUCAAUAACUUGGAAAAGGAUCACUAGUUGUAAAACUCUCUCUUGUGCAAAAUAUUUCCAUAUACUGUCAUUGAGUAUAGGUCUUAAGCAUCUAAAGACUAUGGACAAAGCAUAAUGAAGAGAGCAUCUCUAUGUGAAGGUACAAAAGGGUAAAACUAUCUCCUUUCACUUAAAACUUGUACCUAAAUCUUCCUUUUCUAUACAUUCUUUGCAUAUCUUGUAUAAAAGGAAGAGAAAGCAUGUCCAUGUAUUAUCCCUGCUUCAUACCUAGUUUAAUUUCCCAAAAUUCAUUCCUGCUUUAGUGCAUCUUUGGUAAAACUAGAUGAAGUACUUUUAUUGUCAAAGAGCUUAAAGCUUAACCUUGUAACGAGGAUAAGCUGCCUUUGUUCCAAAGGUGGAUGGUCCUUAAGUCUCUUUGAAAUCCUUAAGGGAAAAUGCUUAAAAUGUUUACAACAUGCUUUCAUAAGUGCAUAAAUUGUCAUGAGCAUCACACUUAUACUAUGACACAAUGCACUUCACAUUCUGUAUGAUAUAGAUAUGUUCUCAUUAACCUAAUUAUGUGCAAUUGGCAUUUAAGGCCAAAAUAUGUGUUCCUCUCCAUGCACAUACUUAGGGGGAGCAAUCUAUGUUAUAUAGAACUAUGAUCAUGCUUAAUUUGAUAUAUCCUUUUGAUCAUAUCUCUUUUAUGUCUAUGACUAAUGUGUUUUCAAGUGUAUUUCAAACCAAGUCAUAAGUAUAUUGAAAGGGAAUUGGAGUCUUCGGCGAAGACAAAGGCUUCCACUCCACUCUACUACUCAUCCUUCGUCGUCGCUCCGCUUCACUCUCCAUCUUUGGUAUAAUCUUCACUCAUAUGUUUUAUUUGCCAAAGGGGAGAAAAUAGUUGUCACGGGCCUAUAUUUCAUUCCAAGUAUCCGUUUUUGGCGAUUCAUGCCAAAGGGGGAGAAAGUAUUGGCCCAAAGCAAAAGGACCGCACCACCACCCUAAUUUUUAAAAUUAAUGAUUUUCAAUUGGUAAAUUUCAAAUUGGUAUCUCUUUGUGUUCUAAAGGGGGAGCAAGUAGUAUUUUCAAAACUUGAUAUCUUAAAACCCUCUUGAACGCUAAGAGGAGAAUUGAUUGAGGGGGAGUUUUGUUUUUAGUCAAAGGAAAAAGCAUUUGAAACAAGGGGAGAAAAUUUUCAAAUCUUAUAAAUGCUUCUCAAAAUCUUAUUCAUUUACCUUUGACCAUUUUGCAAAAGGACUUUAAAAAGAAUUUACAAAAAGAAUUUGCAAAAACAAAACAUGUGGUGCAAGCGUGGUCCAAAAUGUUAAUAAUAAAGAAACAAUCCAUGCAUAUCUAGUAAGUAACAUUUAUUGGCUCAAUUCCAAGCAACCUUUGCACUUACAUUAUGCAAACUAGUUCAAUUAUGCACUUUUAUAUUUGCUUUGGUUUGUGUUGGCAUCAAUCACCAAAAAGGGGGAGAUUGAAAGGGAAUUAGGCUUACACCUAGUCCCUAAUAAAUUUUGGUGAUUGAAUUGCCCAACACAAAUAAUUGGACUAACUAGUUUGCUCUAGUAUAUAAGUUAUACAGGUGCCAAAGGUUCACACUUAGCCAAUAAAAAGACCAAAUAUUGGGUUCGACAAAAGAGCACAGGGACAAUCGAAGGCACCUCUGGUCUGGCGCACCGGACUGUCUGGUGUGCCACCGGACAUGUCCGGUGCACCAGAGGACUCCAGCGCAAACUCUUCGCCUUCAGGAAAAUCCAGAGGCAACUCCACUAUAAUUCACCGGACUGUCCGGUGUACACCGGACAGUGUCCGGUGCUCCAAGGAAGUGCGGCCUCAGGAACUCGCCAGCUUCGGGAAAAUGCAACGGCUGCUCCGCUAUAAUUCACCGGACAUGUCCGGUGUACACCGGACUGUCCGGUGUAACUGCGGGGCAACGGCUACAAUGGCGCCAACGGCUACCUGCAGCGCAUUUAUUGCGCGCCAGCGCGCGCAGAAGUCAGAAUCACCCAUACUGGCGCACCGGACACUCUACAGUACAUGUCCGGUGCGCCACCGGACAUCCAGGCGGGCCCAGAAGACAGAGCUCCAACGGUCGAAUCCCAACGGCUUUGGUGACGUGGCUGGCGCACCGGACAUAUCCGGUGUGCACCGGACUGUCCGGUGCACCAUUCGACAGACAGCUUUCACCAACGGCUAGAUUUUGGUUGGUGGCUAUAAAUACCACCCCAACCGGCCACUUUAAGGUGUGGGAGCCCAAGCAACAUUCCAAGUCAUCUAGUUGACAUAUUCAAGCCCUCCCAACCACAUAUAUUCAUUGAUCCAUCCUAUACACAAGAUUUAGACCACUACAACCAACACAAGUGCCACAAAAGAGAGAGCAAGCAAAAGAGAGCUACUCAUUUGAGUUUAGCACUAGUGCCUUGUGAGAUUCAUCGAGAGAUAGUGUGUGCUUCAUCUUUGUGUUCAUUUGCGCGUGGAGUUUUGACUCCCAUUGAACUUCCUCCAAAGUUUUGGAGGCUUGUAAAAGCUAGCAAGAGACACCAAAGUGUGUGGUGGUCCUUGCGGGAUCGAGAGUGAUCCUUGAGAAGAAGAAGAGCUCGUCGAUCCUUGUGUGAUCGAGGGAGAGAGGGAAAGGGUUGAAAAAGACAUGUCCUUAAGUGGACUCCUCAACGGGGACUAGGCCUUCGAGGGCCAAACCUCGGUAAAACAAAUCACUCGUGUCCAUUGUGUUUAUUGCUUGUGAUUUGUUUGUUUUCUCGUAUUCUAAGUUUUUCUUGCUCCAUUCUUUGCCAAUAUCAUUUGGUGUUGCUUCAAGUUAAAUUUCCAUGUAGUGAAGCAACACGUUGCAAGAAAGAACUUGUCCUAGUGCUCUUCUAAUCUAAGGCUUCUUGCUUUGUUAUUCUAUAACUUAUUUGAUUCAUCACUCCCUCAUUAUUUAGCAAUAUUCUUUUCAAGCAAAAACUUAGUUUGUAUACUCCUAUAUUUGUAUAUCUUGUUCUAACCACUAAUCAAGAGAUCUAGUUGGGGGAUAAAGUUUUAAUUUUCAGGUUUCGCCUAUUCACCCCCCCUCUAGGCGACUUUCAGGGUGCCUAAUCCUCCUAUUCGCCAUGGCAAAGGCCUUAGGCAGGGCGACCCUCUCUCCCCCCUUAUUUUUGUAUUGGCGAUCGACCCGUUGCAAAAAAUCCUGAAGAUUGCUGCUGAGUCUUGAGCUUUGAGCAAGCUGGGGAACCGCUCGCCUAUCCUCAUGAUUUCGUUGUAUGCCGAUGACGUGGCUCUGUUUGUUAAGCCAAAAAAAGAGGAAAUUGAGACAAUUGUCAGUUUGCUGACCUUAUUUGGAGAGGCUUCGGGUCUGAUGACCAAUUUUCGAAAGUCCACAAUUGUGCCCAUUUGUUGCCAAGGACUACCGCUUGACGACAUUCUUGACGGCCUCCCUGCUGGAAGAGCAACCUUCCCGAUCUGAUACUUGGGUCUGCCUCUCACUUCGGCUAGGCUAAGGAAACGAGACCUUCAGUUUUUGGUAGACAAGGUCUUGGGCAAGCUGAGUAGUUGGAAUAUGAGGAAUUUCUCGUUGGCGGGCCGUUUGACUCUUGUUAAAACGGUGAUCACCUCGCAAGCAAUCUACAUGCUAUCCGUCCUUAACGCGCCUAAGGAAAUUAUAAAUCUCCUUGACUCCAAAAGAAGACAGUUCCUUUGGGUGGGUUCAGACAGGCUAACUGGAGGAAAAUGCAAAGUUAAUUGGAAGCGUGUGGCGAGGCCAAAAGCCCUCGGGGGCUUGGGGGUCCUGCAUUUGGGUGCUUUUGCGCGCGCCUUGCGCUUAAGGUGGUUAUGGCAAAUUUGCACAUAUCAUAAUAACGCCUUGGGAAAUUUGGAAACGCCUUGCACUAAUGUUGUUUGUCUGCUUUUUGCGGCAUCAACAAAUAUUAAGAUUGGAGAUGGCUCCAAGAUAUCAUUUUGGGACAGCGCUUGGGCAGGGGGAAGGAGGCCGAAAGACUUGGCACCUAGUCUAUUCUCCAUAUCAAGACAUAAGGGCAAAUCACUGGCAAGGGCGGUUAGGGACAAUGCGUGGAUCGCAGAUCUCGCACUGCUAGGCAGUGUAAUUACGACCCGUCACCUUCAUGAGUUCUUUAUUCUUUGGUCCGAGGUUCAAAAGAUCCAGCUUGACCCAGGGGCUCAGGAUAUCAUCACCUGGAAAUUCACUGCAGACCAUCGCUACUCAGUGAAAUCAGCAUAUUUGGCGCAGUUUUUAGGCUCAGUUCGCACUAACUUAGACCUCAUCAUUUGGAAGAAUUGGGCGCCCCCAAAGUACAAGUUUUUCAGCUGGCUAGCGAUUCAAAAUCGCAUUUGGACUACCGACCGUUUAGCUACCAGAAAUUGGCCCCAUUCCCCGACUUGUGUUCUUUGUCAAGGUGUUCUGGAAUCAGGUCUUCAUCUAUUUGUGGAAUGCCGGUUCACUAAACGGAUUUGGGAGGAGAUUGCUGUUUGGGUUGCCAUUGAGGAUUUGAAGCCGUCUAACUGGGAGCUAUCUCACACGCUGAUGCAUUGGUGGGAGAACUUGGCUAUGAUAUCGGGGUGUAGCAGAAAGGGGCUCAGAUCAUUGCUGAUCCUUAUUAAUUGGAUAAUAUGGCGGGAAAGGAAUGUGAGGACUUUUGAUCGCAGGUUUUCGACUAGUCAGCAGAUCAUAACUCUGAUUAAAUGCGACGCGGCAGCCUGGAUUGCAGCCGGGGCUAGACAAUUAGCUACCCUCUUAUCCUCGUCAACUUAGCUAGGUUGCUUGUUGUGUGUCUUUUUUAGUUGCUAAGGGAUGCUUAGAGAGUAUCUGUUGUGCUUGACAUCGCCUGUGUAUUGACUCUUUUGCCUUAGGGCAUUUCUCUUCUUAUCAAUAUAUAAGGCAGAACUCCUGCCUGCUUGUUUCAAAAAAUAAUAAAAAGGUGAAGCAACAACUAAAAGCAACAAUCAACACCAAUCACAAGACUGCAUUGAUGCUUUCCACAAGAUAUAACAAAAGAAGGCUACAAAAUUCACAUAGCACCAUGACUUCCAAUUCCAGUACAAUAAAGUAGUAAGAAACCAUCAGUAAAAUAACUUCAACAAAUUAUUUUUUUGAAAAAGAACAUCAACAAAUUAUAGAGGAGCAUACUUGUGAAUCCACCACAUUGUACUCCUUCAAGAGCUUGCCUUUCUCCUCAACAGUCAACACUCCUAAAUUGAAGAGAAGAGUUAACUGCCUGUCAGAAAUAGCCAUUCCCAUCUAGUACUAUGAAAGAGGGGAGGGGUCGAAAACUCUGAUUUGUUGCUGUAGAAUCAGAGAUUAAAUUAAAAUGUACCACUAAUAUGUUUGCGAUUGCAUAAUAGAGUCAUUUUAUGUCAAACUAAUGCAUCAAAGAAGAAAGCGCUGAUCAAAUAAAUUUAUCACCACUCCAUUAAGCAUAUCAGAACUUGUUAUUGAAACAAAUUAAGAACAUGCCAAGCUGAGUUGUGACUUGCCUGUAUGGCAGAUUGAUUGGGCCAAGGGAUGGAUCGUCCAGUUCCAAUCAGUUAUCUUAUUACUCGUUAGUCCUGCAAUCAAGUUAUGUUCAGUCUUUUAGAUAAAAUCAUAGAAAAUCAAAUUUAGUAAACUGUAACACCCAAAGUCCUAUUUUGGAGUUAUAAAAGGUUUCAAAAAGAUUUAGGUAUUCGAAAGAUAGAUAAAGUAUAUUGCCAAAAAAAUAAUAACAUUUAAAAAGUUUGGUAAUACAAAAUUUCAUCCAAAAUUUGAAACUAGAGGAUAGUUUGAAACCUCAAAGAAUAAAUAGUGGAAAACAAUUAUCUCCUUCAUGAACUAUAGAUUUAUAAAACAUUCUUUAGAAAUAUUUGAAUUAAGGUAGUCUUUGAUGAAUACUAUACUUUACUUUCUCUUAAAAUAAAUAGGUUAUUUAUAUGAACCUCUAAAACUAGCCGCACCUUUAAAAUAUAUGCUUGAGAGGAAAUAUAUGUGGGUUGCAUUUUCCUAAACAAAUAGAAUAAAUAACUUCAAGCCAUGCUGGAAUUUAUUAACUAUGCAUUCUAAUUGAAUUGAGAAUUCAAACGGUAUUUGAAUUUGAUUUGAAUUAGCAAACAAAAUAGAAAACAGAAAAAAAGAAGAAUAUCCUACCUGGGCCGGCUCCUUGCCUCUCACUGGCCCAGUUCCGCUCCCGCACUACUUGGCCCACUUAAUCCCUUCCGCGCAGCCCAUCUGCGAGCACGGAAACCGUGAUCGCGCGCCCGCCAAGCCGCUCAGGUGGGUGACAUUAGGGCCCCGCUGGCCAGCCUCCCCACCGUGCGCGCUGGGAGCCUCUUGUUCGAGCACUGUGUGACAGGUGGGUCCCUAUUGUCAUCUCUCUUCCCCCGCCGUAGUGAAACAAACAGAAAUCCGCAGGGUCCCAGCUUCCGGCCAAGAAAGAAAAUCCUGGCAACAAACUCCGUAGGGAACACCGGUUCCCUCGGCAGUCGUGGGGUCCUCACGGGUAUAAAGACUAAGACUCCCACAUUCCAGAUGCCGCAGAGAACGACAAAUACGUGCCUAGGCCGCCACGGGUAAUCGGUAGCUGAGAGGAAGAGAAGGGAAAAUCUGAGCAUCGCAUUGACCCUCGUCCAGCCCCGGUGCUCAUAUGGGUAGCGUCGCCGGAACUCGCCAUGUGUCCGCUCAAGCCGUGAAAUUCCCCUGCUGCGCGCCGAAGCGGAGUUCUUGGAAUUGCUUGCCGAUGACUGUCGUCACCGCGGAUCCAGACUCCAACUUGGUCGGCUUGCUUCCCGUCGUCACCAUGGGUGAGUCCCCUGUCCAAUUGAUCACCUUCACCCCCGCGGCGAGUAGUGCCAUUAGGAUCAAAGUUUAGAACCCUUGUGCGGGGGGUGGGUUGCCCGGCUGUGGCGCCGGCGCGCAGGCCGUGGGCGCACCGCGGUCUGAUGGCCGAGAUGAGGAAGAAAAGUGAUGACCGUUCAUUUGGGUUUGGACGGCUUAGAUCAAGACACCUGUGUAGCCUUUCGAUAUUUAAAUCUGAGCCACAGAUCGGCAAACGAUCGGAUCAGGUUUAGAUCACGGCGUGGUCGGUCUUGGAUCGUAGAUCUGAAAUCGAAUGGCCAGGGCUGUGUACCGGUUCGUUAUGGGACCAAUUUAAUCGCAGCCAUCGGAUUCUGAUCCAACGACUCUGAAUGGCCCGUACCCCUUCGCGUGGUAUAUUUUCUAAAGAGACCCUAUAAUUUUAAUAAAUCAACCCGCCAUCCCAUACAGUUAAAGAGGUCGUACAAACAAGUCUUGGUUUUUAUGAAAUCAACCCUUAUCUUUGUGCAAAUGUUGUGCGCGGUCCCGAGAUUUCAGAAUGAAGAAAAAAAUGGAAAAUUGAUUUUGAAUAUAAAAAUAAAUCUAUAAACUUAGAUAAUUCAUAACUUGUGCAUUUUAACUCCGAUUCAACCGUUCAAAUUGCGUUAGCUUCGUAAUAAAGUUAUCUACACACUAGUAACCCUACUUUAUCAUGUAACAUGUUUUUAAAUAAUUAAUUUGGUUACCCUAUGUUCAUCAGAUUAACUUCUCUAAUUAAAAUUUAAGUAAUAUUUUCAGUACCUAGUUAUGAUUUGACUAAAAUGUGUUUUCUAAUAAAGUUAUAACUAGGAUUAAAAUUAAAUUAAUGGUUUCUUAGGAAUAUCUUACAUGAUUCAUAAAAGGGGUAGAAUUUGUAACACCCAAAGUCCUAUUUUAGAGUUAUAAAAGGUUUCAAAAAGAUUUGAGGUAUUCAAAAGAUAGAUAAAGUAUAUUGCCAAAAAAUAAUAACAUUUAAAAAGUUUGGUAAUACAAAAUUUCAUCCAAAAUUUGAAACUAGAGGAUAGUUUGAAACCUCGAAGAAUAAAUAGUGGAAAAGAUUAUCUCCUUCAUGAACUAUAUGUAACACCCUGAAUUUGGGGUAUAAAAUUUUUUCUCUAAAUGCCUACCAAAUUCAGGUGUUACCCUUUGUCUCUCUCUCUCCCUUUUCUUUUGAAUAGGAUUAGGUUAAAUUAGUGAGGGAUUAGUUAAUUACUUUGUCAAAACUACGAGAGUCAUGAAUUGUUGCAUCAUGGUGACCCUAAAUUAUUCUUUGAUUUGAUGCACAUGUUUGAACUAUUUGAAUUUUGGUUUGAAUUUGAAUUGAGUUCACUAGAGAAAAUAAAAAGAAAAGCAUUUAGAAAAUCCCUGGAAAAAGGAAAAGCCACUUUCAGCCCAGUCGGCCCAGUCCAGCCCAGCGGGGCUGCACGCGCCCACGCCGCCUGACAGGUGGGCCCCACCUGUCAGCGGCAGUCCUUACGCCCACAUGCUCUCUCCUUCCCUGUCUCUGCCACCUGGGCCCCGCCUGUCAGCGCCUUUCCUCGCGCACCCGCGUGCCUGCGUGCUCUCUCCUCGGCGGCCCCCUCCUGUUGGCACCUCUUCCCGAUGCCGCGACCGCGCGCCUGUGCCGCUGUUUUGCGGGCCCCGCUUGUCAGCUCUUCCCUCCCUCCUCUAACCUCCGAUCCGCGCGCUCUCCAUGGUCGCGCCCACGUCCGCGCGAUUCUCGGGCACUACCCACGCGCCCGACCCCUACUCAAACCCCCUCCUAUCCGCUCUGCCAUGUCCCCCACUCGCAGACACCCCCGGUUCGCCUUCGCUCGUGCACUGUCUCUUCCCCGAGCUCGGAAUACCGUCACCGUUCACCGUGUCCGCGCGCCCGUUCCGCCACCACCGUUGAGGCCUCGUCGUGCCCUUUGCCUCGGUGAGUCUCGCCUCGAUGUUCGCAACUCGGGACACGCCUCAAUUUACUCUCUCCCCGUCUGGUUCCCUCUGCCCGUGCUCAUCGGUGCUUUCCCCGCGCAGCCGGAGAGCCGCCGCCGUCAACCCAAGCCCUCGUCGUGUCCCUGCCGCCGUUCAAGGGUCCCAGAAUCUCUUCUCAAGGUAACCAACCUUUCCCGCCCCCAAUUUAUCCUUUCUCAAUUAUCGACUGGGCGCGAUUGCUCAUCGAAGUGAAGUUGCGCCACCGCCGAGGCAUCCCGCUGUGGACAGUUGUCCUCCAGCGUCUCUGCGCCGCUGUUGUGCCCAUGAUCGCGUUGCUACAUUCCCCCGAACCUCCUUGAGCCCUUCCCGGUGUCCCGGGGGCCCCGGCGCGCCCGCGCCCUCGUCUCCACUGGCAGCUAGGAGACCUUGCCGAGUUAGCCGUUAGAUGUCGGGCGUCCGUCCAAGAUCGGAUGGCCCGAAUCUAACCAGACCAAACCUAAUCCUGACCGCGUGCCUGAGAUUCGAUCGCUCGGAUCUCCCCCUCACCCGUGCCCCUGCCGCUGGGCCCGGUCUGUUAGCCCUUUCUUAAACCGCUGACACCCCGAGCCCACCUGUCAGCGCUCGCCGCGCGCUCACGCUCGGAUCUGUUCUCGGCCGUUGAUUUGAGAUCUGACGGUUGAGAUGGCUCGAUACCCCUUCGCGCGUAAUUUUGUUUAAGAACCCCCAUGUUUUUAGUAAUCAACCAGCUGUCCUUUAGGUUUUGCGCGCAGGCCCCUGGAUUCUUAUAAACAGACCCCUGACCUUUUUAUUAAUCACAUAGUUGGACCUAAUUUUGUAUUUUAAAUUUCAAAACUUGUUUAUUUCAUAUCUUUUGCAUAUGAACUCCAAAUUGAGUGAUUCAAAUUGCAAAAUGUUCAUAGAAUUAUUAUCUAUUCAAAUAAAUUAGGAUCAUUCAUUGUCUGUGUACUGUAAUUUUAUGCCUAGGCUAUAUGUUAGUUUAUGUGAUGAUUUAUUUGUUUAAUAAGGUAAGUAAAAAGGAAACCCUAGUGGUAAAUAGAUAUUUAAUAUUUUGAGAUUAAUAAUAUGUGAUGUAUGGACUUAUCCCUAGUUUAACUUUUAUGUAUUAUUUAAAUAAGUGGAAUUAGAUUAUGUAAUCAUGGAGAUAGACAACACUUAAAGAAUAACCAACUACUAAACGUGAUUAGUUUACCCUAUAACCUAAACUCCCUUUUGAGUUUAUACUUUUCCUUUUUGAGAUAUGUUCCAUUGUUUCUACAUGAUUGGUGUGUUGUUCAUUUGUCAUUUUCCAAAUAUAUUGAAUGGAUGAUCGCUUUAUUUAGACGACGAGCAGCCCAUGGUUCCUGACUGUGUUGUCGAAGAUCUUCGUGAGCAACAUCCUGGUGAACGCAAGUGUCCUAUGACCUUUUAUGUCCUACUUACUUUAUAAUUCACCAUCCCACAUUACUUUAUUGAAACCUAAGGAUUGACUAGUCUGUAUUUACCUUAUCCUUGUUUACCUUUUUGGGUUAUCAUGGUUAGCCUGUGUUAUUGCUUUAACUUAAUCAACAAACAUGGUGUGAAUAUUUAUGAUACGAUGAUAUUAUCCAGAUGAUGAUCUUGUGAUAUUUUAGGGGGCUCAGGCCAUUUUCCUGAUUACCUCUCCGUAAGGACCCGUUCGUUGAGUGACCACCCGGGAUAACAGUGCAACCAUGAUGGUGGAAUGAGACGCCCUUAGCUGAAUAAUCAGAUGAACCUGGGGGUGUAGUUGGCUUUGCCUGAGGGCCGUCAAUGGGGGCUGGGGCGUAGUGCUCGCUCUGCCAAGGGGGGUGCAGACGUUCAUUCGAUUUGGUUUUGUUAGUCACCCACCUUGGGGAGGUGUACGUUUGUAUGACUGGCGAAACCUAACAAGCAGCUAUGCACCAGGGGAGUCUUUGUAAAGGCUACGUAGUGAAACCUUGCCGAAUCACCUUGGUAGUGUUUGAGGGUUUGAUCGACUCGAGGCAAAAAGGGAUCAAGACUCAUGGGUAAAGUGUGCAACCUCUGCAGAGUGUUAGAAACUGGUAUAUCAGUCGAGCUCACGGUUAAGAGCAGCCUUGGGAUCCUCUUUUAUUAGAAGAACUUUGGAUAAUUUUAUGAUGGUGGUUAAUAAUGAUGGUUAUAAUUAUGAUCUCUGGUAUUUCCUCUUGGAGGGAGUACAUUUGGGUAAUAAUUGGGUUUAUUACUAAAAUUUGGCUGUAUUGUUAGUAAUAAAUACUUGACCAACUAAAAGCAACUGCUUAACCUUAACUCCACAUACAGCUGGUCCACUUUAGCCAAAUGGGACAUUUGCUGAGUACGUUGAUGUGUACUCACCCUUGCUUUAAAAACCACCCCACCCUAGGUUGUCCCCACUGUAUUCAGUGCUCAGAAGGAGAUGCAGCCAACAUGGAGGACUUUGAGGAGUUCCAGGUCUACGAUGAGUUCUAGUUAUGUUAGUGGCAAACCCCCAGUCAGCUGCCUGUGAAGGCCUUAUCUACUACAUUUCGUAUUCCGCACUUUGAUGAUAUUAAAUGACUAUGAUAUGUUAAAGACUCUAUGGAUGUCUUGAACAUCUUGAUGUAAUAAAGUACCCUUUCCGCUAUUUACUUUGAGCAUUGUGUGAUGAUGUCCAAUUAUGUAAUCGUUGUGUACGCGAGUUUCUGAUCCUGGCACGUACAUAGUUCACUUCUGGUUUGCCUUCCAAAACCGGGUGUGACAUAAAAAGGUAUCACAGCCUUGCUGACUGUAGGACUGCUAACCUAGACUAGAAUGGUCGCCCUAUGGACUAUAGACCACUACCCUUACCUUGACCUUUAGUGUCAUUUCAAAAGUUGGUUAUCUUGACCAAUUCUAUGUUAUAUUAUUAUCUAUAUUCUCAUCUUAUAAAUUUUUUAUCUCACUUCGCUUUCUGUUUACUUGCUGGUUUUUAAGUUCUACUCUCACUCUUAUGCUUACGAUGUCUUUUGUAGAUGACCCAUAUUAGAUGCACUGCACGUAAGUCAGUGAUCCCCUUUUUGCUCUCUCGCCUAGCGGAGCGCCCACUGCGCUGUGCGGUGACUGGUCAGUCUAGCCAUCUUGAGAGACUGCAUCGUCGCCUGCACGAGGAGCAGGAGCGCCGACGCCAGGAGCAGGAGCAGCAGGACUCUUCCCCCUCGCCUCAGCAGGAGGUGGAGUCUGGGAGGCAGCCUUCCCCUGCACCUUAGCCAGAGAUGCCUCCUGCACCACCACAGGGCAUCCUGGCUGCUGGAGGAGACCCUCACGGAGAUGACGAUGACGACGCCGGUGGCAGUUCGAGCCACAACACGGAGCUCUCGGAGGAGCAGGAGCCAGAGGGAUGGAUCGCUAGACCCAGCACUCGUGACGCCGCUCGCGGUUGUCACUUCCACGACGCUCUCGACACCUUGCUGCAUCGGCCCUUCGAUCGACACACUUGGUCUAUCGAGUACCGUUGUGUAGUCUACCAGCAUCGUCGCGGGUUAUACCCGAACCAGUGGGAGGCUACUUGCUUGGUGCGUCGUCCGGACGAUGAUCUCCGGGGUGCAGAGGCCUUCUCAGAGCACUAUUUUAUCACUGAGAGCGAUACUGCCGAGGCAGCCAUGCAAGAUGCUGCGCAGCGUGCGCUUUCGCAGUACUCCUCGUUGUUCAGCGGGGUAGCUGACGGACUCGACCUGAAGUACUACCCUCGUCGUUCGACCGAUAGUGCUGGAGGUGUGAUUGUCUCGCCCGUUGGUGAGGGCAAUCCUAGGCUAAACAACAUGGUCAACCUGGUCGCCGUGCUCAACACCGAGUUGACCACGCCCUUGACGAGUUGGGCAAGGUUCAGGCGGAGGUUGCGGAAUUGCGUGCUGAGCGCGCAACGCGCCACUAUCAGGAUGGUGGUUCUCGCGCUCCUGUCGGAAUUCAGCACCGUUACCGCUCGUCGCCCCGUGGUCGCUUUGAUUAUGGCACCCCUGACUGCAGGACCCAGGUAGAUUUGGAGCCAUAUAUCGAUAGAGUCGGAGUCUGUAAUAAUGCUUAAUUCAGUGUCUUAGUUCUAGUCAGUCUUAGUUAGAGUUAGUUUGCUUAUCAUAUGUUCUGAUGCUUGUCGUGAUGAACUCAUAAUGAAGUUGGAUCUUUGUAAUGAUUGUCGUCAAGGUGUGGGCAUCUCCUGCAACUUGGUGUAGUUAUUAAUAAAGUUAGUUAUUUAGUUGGGUAACCCAUCUAUUUCCACUUACCUCUUUAUAUGAGAAGUUGUGUUGGCUGUGUUGAGAGUUAGUGAAGAUGAUCAAUUGUUUAGUGCUAUGAAGAUUUCCAUAUAUCUUUUCUUAUGCUGAAAGACUGCAGAGUCAGAUCUGAUGUGUGUGUACUUUCUAUAGAUGUCUGAGAACAGGCGCAAAUGUGGAAGACGUGCUCAGCAGGAGCAGGAAGCACCCCAGGAGGAGGCAGCUCAGCAGCAGUUGCCACCGCCAACCCCGAUGACCAUUGAGCAGAUAUUCCUGAUGUAAACCCAAGCAGUCCAAGCCAUUGGUCAGACUUUAGCAGCAAUGCAGUAGGUGUAGCAGCAGCAACCCCCACUUCAACCUUAGGUGCAAGUUCAGAUACCACAAGUGCCUAGAGACAAGCGGGAAGAGUUUAUGAGGGGCCAUCCCCUGUCUUUGCCCAUUCUGCAGAUCCCAUGGACGCCGAAGAUUGGCUGCGUACUGUGGAGCGUGAGUUGCACACUACUCAGUGUAACGAUCGUGAGAAGGUUCUGUAUGGUCCCUGACAGCUAAGAGGAGCAGCACAGUCUUGGUGGAAGUCUUACCUCGCCACCCAUGCCGACCCUGAAGCCAUCACCUGGGAGGAGUUCAGGGACAACUUCUAUCGUUACCAUGUGCCUGAAGGACUGAUGAUAGUAAGGAAGGAGGAAUUUCUAGCAUUGAAGCAAGGUCCGCUGUCUAUCAGUCAGUAUAGGGACAAGUUUCUGCAGUUGUCAUUGUUGGGGACUCGUUCUCAAAUGCUAUGAAUUAAGAACAAGGCAACAUAAAAUGUUAAAUGUUAAUACCCUUCGUCCGCUGAAGCAUUAUUCCCUUAAGGAUUUAAUGAACUUCGGACGAAGGUUAAGGACGAUACAAUUACGAAGGUUAAAUCUUUGUAAUUGAACUCUAAUAAAUUAUAUGAAAUAAUGCGAGAUAUGAAGCAUCAAAGACAAAUAAAUUACAAUAUCACUUUCAUAUUAUAUCAACUUAAUGUACUCAAAUAUUAAAUACAUUUAUACCUCUGCCUUGGCAAAGAAUAAUUCCCGAGUGAUGCGAUUGCAAUUACAGGAAUGCGUGAACAGUAAAGGAAUACUGUUCACUAUUUAUAGGCACAAGACACAGCCUGUGAGGAAUUACAAUCAUGCCCCUCAUAAAAGUUUACAACAACGACUCAAACACUUAUGGACUAAAAGGUCAUUCUACUUUUAAGUCGGUUUGCAAUUCCGAAGCUUCAUGAACAGCAACCUUCGGUCAUCACGUGCAAACAGCUUCAGCCGAAACUGUUUCCUCCUGCAGGACCUUCGACGACGAAGCAUGGUCCCAACAGUAGCCCUUCGCGGUGCUAGAUCGUUUUUCGUAACGAGCUUGAUCCGUGAAAAAAGUCUCUUAGGCUUCAGGAAGCCGAAGGUCCGAAAAACACCUUCCCUGAGCUCGUUGUCGAGAAACGAUUCAGUUUCCGAGCGCGUAGCGGUCCCACCCUGCAGGGUUACUAUUUGGUCUCUGCUGUCCACCGCGCAGCGGGUGUAAGCAGUUGUUUGUCUGGUGUAAAAAUCCUGACGAUUCACCUUCUUACCUGCAGCACUAUAUAAACAGACGGGUAGGUGUGAAGUUACCACAGCAUUCAUUGCUAUUGCACUGUUUUGCUGCCAAAAUUUUUAACCAUAGCCGAAGCUUGACUCUCGUAAGCAGACGAAGCUCCAGUUUAAAGCCUACUUCGUCAGAAGAAAAAACUUCGGAAGAAAAAGUUUUUUAGUUCCCAAGAAAUUCAGAAUUAAAUGGCCAGAGUGCGCUCUACCGCUAGAGUUGAGCGUGAGGGAGGCGAAGCCGAAGGAGCGGAGACUGUUCCUAUCUCCGAAGCGAUGCAACGAUCCAGACUGGUGACCUCGGAAGGAAUCCGUACUGCCGAGGCAGAGCAGACUGUUGCCGAGACAGAAGAAGUUGCUGCCGAAGCGGAAGAAGGAAAUAUUGAGGAAGCUGAUUCCGAUGAUGAUUACCAAAUUGCCGUGCCAAGCAAACCCAGCCACUUGGACUUCAGAAAGUCGACUGUCUCCAAGGCUGAUUUCUCCAAGAUGGUGAAAUCGGGUUAUUUCAACGAGAAUGAGAAAAAGCUACUUCGCUUCGGGGGGGAAGAAACUACCCCGAAGCCAGAAAAGGAUGAAAUAGUCAUUUUCAAGAGCUUCCUAAAAGCUGGGUUGAGAUUCCCCUUAAAUAGGAUGAUCUCUGAUGUGCUGCAAAGAUUUGGUAUCUAUUUUCACCAACUGACUCCCAACGCGAUUGUCAGGCUCAGCGUCUAUAUCUGGGCUCUCCGAAGCCAGACGGUGGAGCCAUUUGCCGACAGUUUCUGUCGAGUUCAUGAGUUGCAUUACCAAACUAAGGCCAGAAAAGAUGGAUUGCAUGAAAAUUUUGGCUGCUACAACUUUGCUUAUCGGAAAACCACAAAGUUUCCCGUGAUCAGCUAUCGAAGCAAAUGGCCGGCAGGCUGGAAAUCAAAGUGGUUUUAUGUCAAAGUUGACGAAGACAAAGAGAAGCUAGUUCAGAGCCCUCUUGAGCUAAUCUUCGGAGAAACAAGACCCCGAUGCAAAAUGGCAGUAGAAGGUCCAACUUGGGCUGCACUGGGCGAAUUCAAGAUUAUUGCAGAACAUAUUGGCACUAGAGAUUUAGUGCAGGAAUUCCUGGCCUUCAGGGUUUUUCCGACUAUGAAAGAGUGGACAAUGCCGAAGCUCAAAGGGGAAAAGAAAGAGGGGGAACUCGUCCGACUGCCCUACUAUUAUAAGUUCAAGAAAUAUUUUAAAGUACCCUGCCAAGAAUGACUUGAUACAAUUGAAAUAAUGAGUAAUGAAAUUCUUGAGAAUUACUCUAAAAAAGAGGACCAACUGAUGACAGCGGCCUUCGGCACUCGGCCGAAACGAAGGCUGAACAGGGUGCUUGAUGCCAUAGGAUUUGAAUAUGCUGACUAUGGCCGACUGGGCGAGGAUGCUGGAGGCCCGAAGCGAAAAAGGAUUGCUAGCACUACUGACGAAGAAGUCGUCAAGGCAGCAAAAAAGAAAAAGAAAGAUUCUGAAAAUAUUAGCGCUGAAGAGUUAAAUCCUCAGCCGAAGGUGGCUACGGCAAAAAAGAGAAAAAGUGCAUCCCCAGAGCCAGAAACGUCGGUCCGAGAAGAAGAUACUCCUGCUUCUCCUUCUGCUGUUGAAGUAGAAGAGAUUAUGAAGGUAAUGACUGAACCCUUGCCUAUCAUGCUAAGUCCGCUGGCAUUGGAACUGACGAAGUUUUUUCAGAGGGACAAGGCAGCUUCGGCAGCAAAAAGUCCUGUGAAGCCGAAAAAACGGAGAAUUAUUCAAGUGACGGAUGUGAUCCAUCAGACACCACCACCGACGACGGUGUCACAAAUUGUCUUUGCCGAGACUGCCGAAGCCGAAGACGCCGCAUUCGAAGGCGCCGCAGCCGAAGCUACUGGAGUGGAAACUAUUGAAGCUGAGAUCGGCGAAGCCAAAGCUACCGGGGCCGAAGCCGGGACCACUGAAGAGUCGAACCUGGAAACCACACUUGAGGUUAUUGACAAUAUACUCUUGAAAAUGGCUGAAGAAGAAACUACUGCAGCUGCGGUGAGCAUGGCAACUGGAAAGGGGAAAGAGCAAAUUGACGAAAUUUCGGAAGAAGAUUUUAACUUUCAAGAUUUGCUUGGAGAAGGGUUGACAGACGCUGAGAAAGAGGAGUUGAAAAAAUAUGCCAUAUCUUGCGGCUAUAAAUCAGGGGCUAUGCUAUUUGGUGGGGUGAACGAAGGGAAACUAAGGUGCCUUCGGAACCGCACCGAGGCCAAAAUUGUCAGAACCCUUUCCAAAAGCAUUGGCUUGCCGAAGCUGGAAGCGGACUUGUGUCGUUAUCAACGACACCACAUCGCCGGAAGCUUGCUUUAUGCUAACUUCAAGGUAACAAAUAUUUUUGUUAUUUUAUUACUAUUAUUAUUAACUUUUGGUCGUGUUCUAACGAAGAUCAUUUCGACAGAGCAUAUUAUUAAGCAAGGUUCUGAAGAUGCAACAAGAUCUGGAGGAAGAGAAAAACAAAGCCGUCAUUCAAGAUUUGGCUGAAAAAAUUGAAAAUCACGAAGCCAAUCUGAAAAAGAAAGACUUCGCAAUUCAAGAUCUUGAAAUCAUGGUCAAAGAGCAUGAAGGUGCAUUAGAAAAGAAGGAUUUUGUUAUUCAGACCAUGGAGGGCUCUUUGGCUGAAGUCCAAACUGAAAAUGACAAAUUAAAGAAUAAAUUGCUCCGUCAAUCAGAAAAAUUCGAGCAAGAAAAGAAGUAUUUUGAAGCAAGCCUGAAGGCUGAAGUGGAUAAAUACUCAAAUUUGCAGAAAUCCUUUACAGAACUUCAGGAGAAAUGCUUAAGCUUCGGCAUCCGAUGUGUGCAGCGGCUGAAGGACGUGUUUCACUCUGUCGGAGCUAGCUCUUCAAAAUUUACACCUUCAGCUGAAAACCUGCCAAGAACAUUAGAACAUAUUGAAGGCGAAGUUGAUGCCCUUGACGAAGUUAUUGGUGGGCACGCUGACUUCUGCGCCCUGGUAGCUUCUCGGGGCACAACUGCUGCUUUUUUGAAGGCUGGCUGCACACAUGGAAACAUUGUGAACAGACCAAACUUCAGUUUGUCAGCUUCAGAUUUGUUAGACAUCCCAAGCUUAGCCAGAAGCAUCAGAAAUAGAUUCAUGACCCAGAUCUGGGUAAGUGGCGGGCGGAAAAUGGCAGGCGACGAAGCUCGAAGCCAUCUUAAGCCGGUAAGAAACUUAUGUUUGUUACUUUUACCUUCUCCUUUGAAAUUUGUACCUUUCUUACUGUGUUGUUUUGAUAUAUACAGGAUGACGAAGCUGAAGAUUGACAAUGCUGAAGUUUGACAAAACUGAAGACGAAGCCUUAGCUGAAGCUUAAAAUUGCUUAUAAUGUGCUUUCCUACAAAAAUUCUUGGAGAAACUCUUGUAAUAUAGAUAUGGAAUAACUUAUGUAAAUUUGUACAUACCUUGUAAUAUAUUCUGUCUCCUUUAACCGCAUCCAGUCUGCUUUGCUGUGGACGAAACUUCUCUUUUGAGCCGAAGGCGAAAAACACCUUCCCUUCUUUUCGUACACAACGAAGCAUAGAAAUUUUUUCCUUCGAAUCUUUUCCUUUUUUUUUCUGAAGCACCUAUCUUUUUUGUGUAGCAUGAUGAUGAUUCUAUAUAUGUCUAAAUGGAUGUUUAUGAAUGCAAAUGACAUGAUGAUAUGUUAUGUGCAAAUGAAUAUUAGAACACAUGUUCAAAAAACCAUAAGCACGGCCCCUCGUCCCCUCAAGAAUGAUAAAAAUCUUUUUGCCGUUUACUUUUCGGCUUCACCGUUUACUUUUCGGUGUAUCAGCGUUGACUUUUCGCUGUAAGCCUCCCUUAGGAGCUUCUUCGCCUUUUACUUUCGGCGGAAUCAGCGUUUAUUUUUCGCUGUAAGCCUCCCUUAGGAGCUUCUUCGCCUUUUACUUUCGGCGGAAUCAGCGUUUAUUUGUCGCUGUAAGCUCUGCAUUCCCUUAGGAACGACUUUUGAGCUUCUCCCUGUUUUCUUUUCUUUCUCUUUGCACUCGAGGGUGCGUUCUCAGCUUUUACAUUUACAUUUUUGGGGGAUAUCGCUCUUAUAGAAUUGAAAUAAGGAAAAGAAAAAUUACAUGUUCUGGCCCCAUUAAAAACCUUUCUCCCCUUUGGAAAGGAAAAGGGUGCCACAAAAAAGAAUAUAAAAAAUUACAUCAAACUAAACAUAAUAUCUCCGAAGCUCAUCCGCAUUCCACGAUCUAGGAAUGUCAUUGCCGUCCAAAUCCUUCAACCUGUAGGAACCAGGUCUUGACGAAGAUACUACCAAAAAGGGGCCUUCCCACUUCAGCUGUAAUUUGCCUACUGUUUCAGGGUUAGCUACUCCUCGAAGUACCAAGUGUCCUGGUUCAAUGUUCUUCAACUUGACCUUUCUAUCAUGCCAUUUUAUUGUUUCAGCUUGAUAUUUAUUGAUGUUUUCCACAGCUUGGAGUCUGAUCCCUUCAAUAGCAUCUUUUUCUACGGAGCAAUCAGCUUCGUGUUCGCCCUCUGCCGAAGCUACAGUCCUUAUUGAUCCUGUUUUAGCCUCUACAGGGGUUAUUGCUUCGUCACCAAACAAUAGUUUAAAGAGUGUAAAGCCUGUUGAUCUUGAGAUGGUUGUGUUAUGACUCCACACCACUUUGAUUAACUCGUCUGGCCACUUUCUCCUCGGCUGAUUGAAGAUUGACUUCAUUAUUCCUGUCAUUAUGAUCCCAUUGGCUCUUUCAACAAGUCCAUUUGAUUCUGGGUGUCGGACUAAUGCAAAAUGGAUCUUCGUGUCGAUUUGAUUACAAAAUUCUCUGAAGGCUUCAGAAUCAAACUGUGUCCCGUUAUCCACAGUGAUAGCCUUCGGCACUCCGAAGCGACAAACAAUGUUUUGCCAGAAAAACUUUUGAAUAGUAAACGAAGUUAUUGUGGCUAAGGGCUUCGCCUCAAUCCAUUUGGAAAAAUAUUCCACUGCCACCACCACGUAUCUUAAGUUCCCCUGUGCUGGUGGUAAUGGACCUAGCAAAUCCAGACCCCACCUUUGCAACGGCCAAGUGGGUUGUAUUAACUGAGUUAAAGACGAAGGUUGUUUUUGAUCUCUUGCACAUUUCUGACAACCUUCGCACUUUUGAACUAAAUCCGCUGCAUCCGAAGCUGCCUUUGGCCAAUAAAAUCCUUGGCGAAAAACCUUUCCAAGCAAAGGCCUAGGUCCAAUGUGAGAUCCACACAGACCUGCAUGUAUGUCCUUCAUUAAUUCUAUACCUUCGGAUCUGGAUAAGCAUUUGAGCAAUGGGGAACAGACCCCACGCUUAUAUAGCUCCCCUUCUAUUAUGACAUAUGGUCGAGCUCUUGCUUCUAUUCUCCUGUUAUAAGCUUCGUCGUCUGAAAGAAAAUUACCCUGAAGGAAAGAGAUAAUUUCAGUUCUCCAAUCUUCACUAUAAACAGGGGAUAUGUUGAGGAUUGCUCUUUCAAGAAGCUCGACCGAAGGUGCUUUUAUUGUUUCAAAAAAUACUUCCGAAGGUAUGGGCAGCCCCUGGGCUGCUGACUUAGCCAAUAAAUCAGCGUAUUCAUUUUCUCCACGAGGAAUAUUUUUGACAGAGAAACCUUCGAAGGAAGCCUCAAUCCUUCGGACUAUAUCUAGAUACCUUUCAAGCUUCGGGUCUCUUGCUUUGUAACUUUUGUCAAUAUGACCAGAAAUAACUUGAGAAUCAGUUUUAAGAAUGGCCCUUCUGAUUCCCAUUGCCUUUAGUUUCCGAAGACCCAAAAGCAGAGCUUCAUACUCGGCGAUGUUAUUUGUGCAACUAAAAUCAAGUCUUGCCGCAUAACAAGUUUUAACUUUGGAAGGUGAAACCAACACAGCAGUCGCUCCUGCUCCGAAGGUUCCCCAAGACCCAUCGCAAAACACUGUCCAUGCUUCGGCGUCUUUAUUUGUUUCUUCCUCCUGAGCCCCUGGCGUCCAAUCAGCAAUGAAGUCUGCUAACGCCUGGGACUGAAUCGAAGAUCUAUGAACAUAAUCAAUACAAAAUUCAUUGAGCUCUGCAGCCCAUUUUCCAAUCCUUCCAGUAGCUUCUCGGUUCCUCAUAAUAUCCUUCAGAGGUUGUGAAGAAGGAACAAUUAUGUUGUAAGCUUGAAAAUAGUGCCGAAGCUUUCUAGAGGCCAUCAAGACAGCAUACAGUACCUUCUCCAACUCUGUAUAAUUUUUCUUUGAUAAACUAAGAACCUCGGAUACAAAAUAUAUUGGGGCCUGCCUCUUAACUUGGCCUUCAAGCUUCUCCUGAACAAGUGCUGCACUUACCGCUGAGUGCGAAGCUGCCACAUAUAAUAACAAAGGAGCCCCUGGCGUAGGUGGAGUUAAUGUUGUUAGAUCUAUCAAAUACUGCUUCAGUUCUUCGAAGGCCUUCUGCUGGAGUGGUCCCCAUUGAAAGACUUCAGUUGUCUUCAGCACUUCGAAGAAUGGUAAGUUUCUCUCUGCUGAUCUAGAUAUGAAUCUGUUGAGAGAUGCCAGCCUUCCUGUCAAUCUUUGAGCCCCCUUUUUUGUACUUGGUGGCUCCAUUCGAAGUAUAGCUUCGAUCUUACUUGGGUUGGCCUCAAUUCCCUUUGUUGAAACUAAGCAACCGAGAAAUUUCCCCUUCUUUACUCCGAAGACACACUUUUCUGGAUUCAGCUUUAGACCAGCCUGUCUAAAAUUAGCGAAGGUCUCCUGUAAAUCAGCAAUGUGGUUAUCCUGCUUCGUGCUUUUUACAAUGAUAUCAUCAACAUAAGUUAGUACAUUCCUGCCUAUCUGAGAAUGGAGAACCUUUGCUGUCAUCCUGCUGAAACUUCCUCCAGCAUUUUUAAGCCCCUCAGGCAUCCGAAGGUAGCAAUAUGUCCCACUAGGGGUUAUGAAGCUGGUUUUUGGUUCAUCUUCCUUCUUCAUCCAUAUUUGAUGAUAGCCUGAAUAGCAAUCCAGCAAACUCAUGAGCUCUGAUGAAGCUGCUGCAUCAACUAAGGAAUCUAUCCUUGGCAAUGGAAACUCGUCCUUCGGACAGGCUUUAUUAAGGUCAGUAAAAUCGAUACACAUUCUCCAUUUACCAUUGGCCUUCUUCACCAUAACAGUGUUAGCCAACCAUUCUGGAUAUUUUACCUCUCUAAUAACUCCGGCACUGAGGAGUCUUUUAACUUCAUUCCGAGCACCUUCGGCCUUGUCAUCAGACAUCUUCCGAAGCCUCUGCUUCCUGGGUCUGAAGGAUGGAUCAACAUUGAGCGAGUGCUCAAUAACAUCCCUGUUAACUCCGCAAAGAUCAUUAGCUGACCAAGCAAAAACAUCUUUAUUGUUGAACAAAAACCUUAUCAAGGUUUUCUCCUGCUCUUCGGACAAUUGAGAUCCCAAUAGCACCUUCUGCUCUGCUAUAUCCUCACAUAAGAGCAUGGGUUUCGGCUGGUCGGCCGAAGCAGCUUUUCCCUUCUGGACUUGUAUUGCUCACAAGCUUCAGUUCCAUCUAUAUUAUGGAUUGCUUUUGAGUCUGUCCAAUUUCCUUCGGCCCUUCUGGCGGCUUCUUGACUUCCAUGAAUAACAAUGGGCCCUUGGUCCGAAGGUAUCUUCAUGCAAAGAUAAGCUGGAUGCAGAAUUGUUUCGAAGGCAUUAAGAGUACCACGACCAAUGAUUGCAUUAUAAGGGUAUUCCAUGUCAACGAUAUCAAACAUAACUUGUUCAGUCCUUGUGUUGUUGAUGAAUCCGAAGGCCACUGACAUUGAGAUUUUACCGAGUGCUACAAUUUGCCUUCCUCCGAAGCCACAGAGGGGAUGUGUGGCAUCAAGAAUUUUAUCUUCGGGCUCUUGCAUCUGUCUGAAGGCCUUAGCAAAUAUGAUAUCAGCUGCACUGCCUGUAUCAACCAAAACAUUGUGGACCAGAAAUCCUUUGAUAACACAAGAGAUAACCAUAGCAUCAUUGUGUGGGUAAUCCUUGAGUUGAAGAUCUUCUUGGGAGAAGGUAACAGGAAUGUGAGACCAUCUUGACUUGAUGAAGGGUCCUUGCACCCCGACAUGCUGUACCCUUCUCUGUGCUUCCUUCUUCUGCUUCUUGUUAGCUGGUUCUGAACAUGAACCGUCUGUUAUCGGGAGUACCAGCUUCGGAACCGAAGCAGCUUUAGCUUGAAUAUUGAACGAAGCCAUCAGCUCAGGAAAGUGGUAGUGAGUUCACCGGAGGUGGGCGCCAAUGUUGGGGACUCGUUCUCAAAUGCUAUGAAUUAAGAACAAGGCAACAUAAAAUGUUAAAUGUUAAUACCCUUCGUCCGCUGAAGCAUUAUUCCCUUAAGGAUUUAAUGAACUUCAGACGAAGGUUAAGGACGAUACAAUUACGAAGGUUAAAUCUUUGUAAUUGAACUCUAAUAAAUUAUAUGAAAUAAUGCGAGAUAUGAAGCAUCAAAGACAAAUAAAUUACAAUAUCACUUUCAUAUUAUAUCAACUUAAUGUACUCAAAUAUUAAAUACAUUUAUACCUCUGCCUUGGCAAAGAAUAAUUCCCGAGUGAUGCGAUUGCAAUUACAGGAAUGCGUGAACAGUAAAGGAAUACUGUUCACUAUUUAUAGGCACAAGACACAGCCUGUGAGGAAUUACAAUCAUGCCCCUCAUAAAAGUUUACAACAACGACUCAAACACUUAUGGACUAAAAGGUCAUUCUACUUUUAAGUCGGUUUGCAAUUCCGAAGCUUCAUGAACAGCAACCUUCGGUCAUCACAUGCAGACAGCUUCAGCCGAAACUGUUUCCUCCUACAGGACCUUCGGCGACGAAGCAUGGUCCCAACAGUCAUGUUAUGUGCCAGAAGAUGUCAAUACGGAUGCUAAGAGGCAGUACCAUUUUCUGAGAGGUUUGGUUGAUCCCCUUCACUAUCAGCUGAUGAACCACAAUUUCCCUACUUUCCAGCAUUUGAUCGAUAGAGCCAUAAUGACUGAAAGAAAGCGCCGGAAGAUGGAUGUCAGGAAACGCAAGAUUGGUGGAUCUCAGGCUGGGAGUAGCAGCCGUCCUCGCUACUCAGUCUACCCAUCUCAACAGUUCAAGCAAGGUCACCAGCAUCAGCAACAACAGUACCAAAGACAGUUCCCUCAGCUGCAGCAGUACCGUCAAAACAACCCAUAAGGAGGAAAUCUGUACCAGCACCAGAACAACUAGGCACCUUGCCUUCCUAUCCCAGCAACCCACCAGAACAACCAAGCAGCUCCAGUGCAAGGAGGAGGCCGCACAUGUUUCCAUUGUGGGGAACAAGGCCACUGGGCAAAUCAUUGCCCAAAGAAGGCAGCUCAGCGACAACCAGCUCCCAAUGUCCGUGCCAAGCAGAAUGCAUCGUAACAAGCAGGCAACAACCGUGGGUAGCCACAUGCCCAGUAUGGAAAGGUGAACCACCUGGAGGACGACACAGUCCAGGAGACCCUAGGAGUGGCACUAGGUACGUUCUCAAUCGAGUACCAUUCUGCAAAUGUGUUAUUUGAUACUGGAGCAACACAUUCUUUUGUGAUUGCAUCAUGGGUAGAAUCACACAAUAUACUAGUAGCACCCAUGUAUCCACCUAUGAGGGUUAGCUCAAUUGGUGGGAGAACCCAAACAGAUAGAUUUUGCCACAGUGCAAGAGUUCAAAUAGGGGGGGAAAGUUCCCCGCUGAUCUAAUAGUAAUGAGUACCCGAGAUGUAACCAUAGAUGUCAUCCUAGGGAUGAAUUGACUAACCAAAUAUCAAGCAUUUCUUAGCUGUGACAAGAGGAUGGUGAAGUUAGUAUCCUUGUCAGGAAAGGAAGUGUUAGUAGAAUUUGAUCUGCAUUCUCUUUUUCAUCCUUAGGAAAAUAUGGAUUUGUUAGAAGAACCUUUCUCCAGUGAAGAAAUUGAUUCAAUCAUCAAGGGUAUCCCAUCCAAUAAAUCUCUGAGUCCUAAUGGGUUUAAUACGGAUUUUAUUAAAAAAAUGUUGAACCAUCAUUGCGGCGGACUUUUAUGGCCUUUGCAAAAGAUUUCAUGAAGGUACAAUAUGCAUGCAAAUUAUCAAUGGAUCUUUCAUAACACUCUUACCAAAAAGGAUACUGCAAUGCGGGUUGGAGAUUAUAGGCUAGUCUCCUUAUUGAAUUCAAGCGUAAAACUAUUAACCAAGCUUCUAGCAAAUCGGUUACAGAAUGUUAUUACCAAGCUUGUCCAUAAGAACCAAUACAUGUUCAUUAAAGAAAGAACCAUUCAGGACUAUUUAGCUUGGUCUUUUGAGUACCUAUUCCUUUGCAAUCAAUCUAAAAGAGAAAUAGUAUUUUUGAAUCUUGACUUUGAAAAGGAUUUUGAUAAAGUUGAACAUGGAGCCAUUAUUGACAUCCUGCAACACAAAGGUUUUGGGUCUGAAUGGGUACAUUGGGUCAAGAUGAUCAUGAGCUCAGGAACAUCAUCUGUUCUUCUUAAUGGUGUCCCGGGCAAAGCAUUUUAUUGCAAGAGAGGAGUGGGGCAAGGUGAUCCUUUAUCACCACUGUUUUUUGUGAUGGCAGCAGAUCUCCUCCAAACAAUUGUGAAUAGUGCAAAAGACAUGGGAUUGUUGCGACUGCCACUCGAACGAUGUGGGCAAGAUUUCCCCAUCAUACAAUGUGCAGAUGACAAUAUAAUGGUUAUGGAUGCCUGCCCUAAACAACUCUUUUUUAAAAGCAGUGUCUCUUUUGCAGAAUCCACGAGUCUUAGAGUCAACUACCAUAAAUGAAGCAUGUACCCAAUCAAUGUUUCUGAUCAGAGAAUGGGAAUCCUAGUGAAUACUUUUAAGUGCCAAGUAGGGAGCAUGCCCUUCACAUAUCUAGGCAUACCUAUGGGAUUAACUAAGCCUAAAUUGGAAGCAUUCUUACCUUUGCUAUAGAGAAUUGAACGAAGGAUGUCAUCAAUCUCUCAUUUUUUAUCUCAAGCGGGCAGACUUCAGAUGGUGAAUGCGGGUUUUCUUCGCUACCCACAUAUUACAUGUGCAUCCUCAAACUUUCUAGUUCGAAGCCGCCUCUGGCAGCCUAGGGAUUGACAUGUAAACCUAAAAAAUGUGGUGGCCUAGGAGUUCUCAGGCUACCAAAUCAGAACAAAGCACUUCUCAUGAAAAAUCUUCAUAAAUUCUUCAAACAAAAAGGUUGGUUCUUUUUGGUGGAGAGAUAUUCUCAAGCAACUACGAUUAUACAAAGAAAUCACACAAGUAUGCAUUGGAGAUGGGAGAUCCAUUCAGCUUUGGCAUGAUCGAUUGAACGGUACACUCAGUUGCAUAUCUAGAACUGUUGUCAUACAUAAUCAAUAAGGAUAUCACCUUGGGCUAAGCUAAGACAAAGGACCAACUAGAAGAAAUGUUUCAUAUACCCAUGUCCCUGGAAGCAUUCCAACAAUACUAACUGCUCAUGACAUCACUUCAAGAACAGAAGACAAUGAUUAAUAUGUCAAAUGGACAUAUAUCUAGGGGGUUCGGGAAUAUUCAUCACAAAAACAUAUAAGCAUAUGGCAGGGGGAAUCUGUUCAUCUGGUAUAUAGAUGGAUAUGGAAAUCAAAAUGUCAGCCCAAACAUAAAGUGUUCUUUUGGUUGCUUUUAAUUGACAAACAGAAUACCAAAGCACUGCUCAGAAAAAGGAACAUGCCCAUUGUCGGAGAGGGAAUUCUCCGGCCGGGUGGCGGAAUGCACCCGCCCUAAAUCCUAAGAUGAGGAAGGGGCUUAAGCGUUUUGCCUAUCUUGCUAAGCGAUCACCAAGCACAUGAACACACGAGGAUUUAGAGUGGUUUGGGCCGCCGGAGCGUAAUACCCUACUCCACUGUGUGUUGGAUUGCUGUGGAAGCUUGAGCGUUGAGGGUCUGUCCGCCCCCGUUUGGUCUAAGAGAGCAUGUGUUGUAACGUAGCAUGCCUCCCCUUUUAUAGCUAAGGGGGGCAUGCACAAGGAUACUGGGCCCCGACAUAUGGGCCCAGGAACAUAACAGAUGUAGUACUUGGAGCUACUAAUGUUCGCUGCUGGAGCAAUCUUCUUGCGCCCUGACACCCGAGAUCUGCGUAGUAUCGGCGUGUAGGGGAAGCUUCUCGUAUAAGUGAUGAUGGACACAGUGCACCGCGCAGCACGGGCGCACUGUUUAACACUGGACUGGACAGGCGUGCCGUCUGCAGGAUGGCCCUGGCGCCACCUGCCAGCGGAGUGGACAGAACGCAUUAAAUGCUGAGGGGGCACAUCGCCUGUCAGCAGGGUGGACAUGCGGCAUGUCCUCUCCACAAUAAAUGCAGAGACCGCGCGGCCUAGAGGCCUUACGUCAGGCUCUGCCCGUUGGCUUAUGUCACGGGCAACAAGCCAUGUGGCAGCAGCGGGUCUCCGCCUGAGCGGGGAGCGCAAGCGCACAGGAUAAAGCCUAACACGUGUCAGUACCGGACCCUUGCUUAUACCAGGGUAUCCCCUGCCCCGGGACCUUGCUGUGGCCCGGACCUUACUCGGAGGGAUCUGGACCCCAUCCAAGGGACCCGGCACGCUUACUUAGGAGUCCCGGACCGUAAUCGGGGGUCCGGGUUGUGCGUACAGGGUCCGGUGCUUUCUUGCGGAGGUCCGGUCCAACUGAUACAUCCUAGGAUGUAUCGUCCUUUCUCGCCACGUGGUGCCACUUGAGUCGUCCACACGGUGGGGCCGGGUGCUGUUCACCGUGCGGCUAGAGACGCCGUACGAGCACCGUGUCUUCAUACUGUAGUAAGAGGUACCCCUGAUUCAGAGUACCGAUGGUGAAUUCUUACACUUGCGAAAACUGCAUUCUACAUAGAAGAAACCACCUCUCAUCUUUUCUUGAAGUGUAGCUUUGCUCGAAGAUGUUGGUAGUUGCUUCAAAUUACAGCUCCAAUCACCUCAAAUAUGUCACUAGCGAUACAACGCAUUCGCCUUCAGCUGAUGAAGCCAUGGAGAAUGGAGACCAUUAUAUAUAACCAUGUCCUAGUGCAUCUGGAAAUGUAUGAACAGUUUGGUCUUCGAAAACUUCCCUCCAACAAUCAUGGCUGGCAGGGCCAUGUUUAUAAAGGAAUUAACACUCACCAGCUACAGAUUGAAGCCUGCAAUAACAGAACACAUAAAACUGUGGCUGCAACACUUGUAAAAAGUCCUUGUAAUAAUGUAAAGACAGUUUACUGUUUCAUCAAUAUAUAACUGGAGGGCAAACCCUACAGUAAUUUAUUCAAAAAAUCUUUGUACAAGAACAGUCGAACCGUUUUAUACUUCACGCUGCUAGCCUCGUAGCGCAUGCAUAUUUGUGACAUCUUUGCGAGAACUGAUACGAAUAUAUGAAGUAAUAGAAACUACACCUACACGCCGGCAUGCCGGCAGAUCAUGCGCCGCACUCUCGAGUACCGACACGUGGUAUAGACCAGGACCACCAGCAUCUUUGAAACACUUUAGUCAUUGCUUGAGACGACAUCUAAGGUGCCUAGGGUUUUCUUUUUUUUUCCAUGUUUUGUUUUGGUCCCAACCAGCUUGGUUAAUUACUAGAUCCAUUUGACUACUUUAAGAACAAUUUUUCCUUUGUUUUAGAACUCUACAUUGCAACAUUGUAUGUAAAACGAUAACCACAUGAAACGUCCAUCAAUAAAUUAUAUUUCCACCGUCUGAAAUUAUAAGACAUUCUAAAUUUCUUCAAGAGUUAAACCAUUUGACCAAUUAGAAGUAGAACUACAAAUACCCUGUGACACCAAUAUAUAUACUAUAAAAUAUAAAUAGUGAAGAAUCUAGAAAUACUUAUUUAUAUCCUUAUUAUAUAAAUUUGGUUAAUCUUGAGAUACAUAGAUUCUAAUAAAAAUCAAAAUAAUUUAUAAUUUAGGACAGAGAGAUACAGUCCUCCUCACUCCAUAUUUCGUGCCGAAAACCUACUUUGCAUUGUCAGGGAUUGAUUGCUUGUGUAAGUUUGUUCAUUUGAAGCAUAGUGUGUCCACUUUAAUUAUCUGUUCAAAAACACUAAUUUUGCAGUGUGAAAUGAGUACGUGUCGUUCAAGAUUGUAGGGCUGGACCACGGAUGGAAUGCACGCGCGCACAUGCAUGAACCACGGCACGCGCGCGCGUGAUUGCAUGUGAUGUGUGUGCGCCCCUCCGAUGGCUUUGGCGUACGCAUUAGGGCCGUAUGUGGAUCUGGCAAGAGUACGCACACCCAUAUCGGCCGGUGUGCCACGGAGCUUGCGGGAUCCUCUAGCUGGUCACCUGCAGUCCUGCACUGCAUAGAAAUAUUUUCUAUCACGGAGGCGCUAGCUGCUAACAAAAAAAAAAA